UACAAGCACCCCAAAGAAGAAAGGAUAGCCCGAACAUGGGGGACAACUGCCCCUGGUCUACCUUAUGUUGACCAGGCCAUAACUUAUGCUGGAAAUUGGCUGAUUGGAGGUGACUUGGAGGUGCUAGAACCAAUCAAGUACCACGAUGGUCUUGAUCGUUUCCGAUUGUCACCUGCUCAACUUCGUGAUGAAUUCAGCAAGCGCAAUGCCGAUGCUGUGUUUGCUUUCCAGCUUAGGAAUCCUGUGCACAAUGGUCAUGCUCUAUUGAUGACUGAUACCCGUCGUAGGCUUCUUGAGAUGGGUUACCAGAAUCCUAUCCUCUUGCUACACCCAUUAGGAGGCUAUACAAAGGCAGAUGAUGUUCCCCUUAGUUGGCGAAUGAAGCAACAUGAAAAGGUAUUAAGAUUAACGUUUUAGCCCUUCUCUCAGUUCUCUGUACAUGGUUCUGUUUUGAUUAGGAUAAACAUCUGUAUUGAAUUUUUAUGCAGUACUUGGUGUAUGCUCCAGAGCCUAGAGGUUAACAUCUUUUUCUGACUUUGUAAAACUAAAAUCAUAUGGUAACUUCAGUUCUUGAGACUGAUUGAAUGCCUGACUCUCCUUCGAGGGGUCUGCUGAAAAUACUGUAAUAAUGCGAACUUCAAAAAAAAUAAAAUUGAAAUGAAUAUUAAUUUUCUGUCAUAUUAUAAAUGUGUAGGUGCUUGAGGAUGGUGUUCUUGAUCCAGAGACCACUGUGGUUUCUAUAUUUCCCUCUCCCAUGCACUACGCAGGCCCAACUGAGGUGCAAUGGCAUGCAAAAGCUAGGAUUAAUGCUGGGGCCAACUUUUAUAUUGUUGGUAGGGACCCAGCUGGCAUGGGCCACCCAGUUGAGAAGAGAGAUCUCUACGACGCUGACCAUGGCAAAAAGGUACUGAGCAUGGCUCCUGGACUAGAGCGGCUAAACAUCCUUCCUUUCAAGGUAUGUAAAGCUUCGGACCAUCACUAAUACUACACACGUGGAUUUUAUGUUCGAUUUCUUUAGUAAUGAAAUUAAUGGUGUUAUAAUUAAAUUGUUUUUGCUUGCAGGUUGCAGCGUAUGACAAGACUCAAGGCAAAAUGGCAUUCUUUGAUCCUUCAAGGGCUAAGGACUUCCUCUUCAUAUCAGGCACCAAGAUGCGAACGCUCGCAAGGAGCAAAGAGAAUCCUCCGGAUGGAUUUAUGUGCCCUGGUGGCUGGAAAGUGCUGGUUGAAUACUACGACAGUCUGACUCCAGCUGACAAUGGCAAAGUCCCUGUUCCAGCUUAGAUGAAAUUGCUGUAUGAUAAUGUAUUUGUCAUUUGAUUGGGAGAAACUUUACAACCGAUUUAUCUCCACUGUCAACUGUCACAUCCAGAUUGUGAAAAAAAUUCUCUGUCCAGAUUUCUUAAUAAAACCAAGGUGAGGCACUGGUACGGAGACACAAGAUUUGCCUCUUUAUGUAAUUAAAGUGCCACUCUUGUGGCAUCUUACAUUACACUGGCAUUCUCAUGUCCUCCAUGAGAUUGCGUUGUACCAUAUUUGUGGUUUGUGUUUCAAUGGAAAACAGGGGUCCUGGAUUGUCGCUUUUUAGUUUUAGAAUAUGUUCCAUUUGAUGAUAUUUGUGGAAUUUCAUUUUCUUAAAAACUUCAUGUGGGCUUUCAAUUCUUAAAAGUCCAUGGGCAUCAUCAGUGACAAAUUAUUAUUACAUCAGUAUUGAAGUGCUCUUUGACCAUCUGUCUUCACACAAAGGAAAUAAAAAAAAAAAGCCAAACUAAAAAGGCACUGUACUACGCCGAAAACAGAUGGGGGUGGUGGAUUCUCAAUUUAUCAAGUUCAUUGCUAACUGAAAGUAGAGCUUUUCUCUUUUCAAUUAAUUGCCAACGAUUAUAUAUGCUUGUGGGUUUCUUUCUUUUUUUCUUCUGACAUACAAGAUACAAGUGUACAUAAAUGUAUGUUACAUGUUCGAUAAAAUUACACGUUUAACGCUCUAAGUAUCUCUGGUGGGUAUAUGCAAAUAUGCAAUUAUGUUGGUUCUUUGGUUUAGUUAAUGACUAUUUGAUGAGCUUUCAAUUCAUUUGCAAGGGUCAAAUGUCUUGCACCUCAGGACUAGAAAUUAAAAAGAGACACAAGUCCGCUCUUCCAUUCUUAGAAAAAAAAAGGCUGCUGUACCGUACAUCCGCCUUGGCCGUACAGCAGNNNNNNNNNNNNNNNNNNNNNNNNNNNNNNNNNNNNNNNNNNNNNNNNNNNNNNNNNNNNNNNNNNNNNNNNNNNNNNNNNNNNNNNNNNNNNNNNNNNNNNNNNNNNNNNNNNNNNNNNNNNNNNNNNNNNNNNNNNNNNNNNNNNNNNNNNNNNNNNNNNNNNNNNNNNNNNNNNNNNNNNNNNNNGGGGGGGGGGGGGGGGGGGAUGUUUUAUGAACUACAGUACUUUUUAUUUCAAGCAUACAUGUGAUAUAAAUAAAAACUAAUCAGCUGCAAAGUCUCAGUACGACAUACGUACGGGAAAAAUGUAAGAAUUGAUGAGAAAAGAAUUUAAAGAACAAUCUAUACCUACAAGCCUACUUCUUCCACUUGAGAUAGCUGGAAAACGGAUUCGCUGGAACGGGUAUGCACUUGACCAGCCAACCAAUUGGCCAAAAAGCAGCUGCGAAACCAAUACAUUCCCUCCAUUGGCCCCAGUUCAGCCUCUCUGUAUCUGCAAACUUCUUCAGAAAUUCCACCAUCACCACUUGAAGAACAAUGGUUGUCCCGAUAAUCCCCAGAAACAGCCUGUUCUUAUGUAUCCCCUCGAAGACAUUCUUCUUCCCCAGAAACUUCUUCCGCCUCUCUGUAUCUGCAAACUAUAUACUUCUUCCACUUGAGAUAGCUGGAAAACGGUUUCGCUGGAACACGUAUGCACUUGACCAGCCAACCAAUUGGCCAAGAAGCAGCUGCGAAACCAAUACAUGCGCUCCAUUGGCCCCAGUUCAGCCUCUCUGUAUCUGCAAACUUCUUCAGAAAUUCCACCAUCACCACUUGAAGAACAAUGGUUGUCCCGAUAAUCCCCAGAAACAGCCUGUUCUUAUGUAUCCCCUCAAAGACAUUCUUCUUUUCAAGCUUCCUCGAGUUGAAUUCGUUGAACACCUGGCAAAGGACGAAUGUGUUGAAGAUCAAGGUGUCCUUUACCUUCUUAUUUACACCAAAGAUGGAUUCACCUCUGAACUGUAAUGUCAAGAGAACUGCUCUCUGAUAUAAAGCUUGGGCCACAAGGUUCCUCCACAUAAUGUUGGUGAUAAGUGGCUCAGUUCGACCAACGGGUGGUUUGUCCAUGAGCUCCUUGGUAGGCUUCUCUGUUGCGAGAGCGAGGGCGCCUAGCGUGUCCAUGAUCAGAUUCACCCAAAGUAGUUGGACUGCUGUAAGAGGGAUUUCCCCUGCGGAAACUGCUGCGACAAAGUUGAUUAGCAGAGCGGCAACGUUUGCCGUAAGCUGGAACUGAAUGAGUUUUUGGAUGUUGGUGUAGACACAUCUUCCCCAUCUCAACACUGUGGCUACCGAAGCAAAAUUAUCAUCCAAGAUGACAAUAUCCGAGCUCUCCUUUGCCACUUCGGUUCCUUGGAUUCCCAUGGACAGUCCAAUAUCUGCUUCCUUCAGAGCUGGUGCAUCGUUUGUGCCAUCCCCGGUAACGGCAACCACAUGACCUUUCUGUUUCAAGCACUGUACCAUGAGAAGCUUAUCGAGAGGAGAGGAUCUCGCCAUCACGCAGAUUUUGUCAACUUUCUCCAUUCUCUCCUCAUGUGUAUAGUUUCUGAAUUCCUCUCCUUCUAGCACAGCACCAGUGGACGUGUCCUGACCUGGCUGGAGUAUUCCACAUUCAGUGGCUAUGGCUUUCGCAGUGAACACGUUGUCUCCGGUGAUCAUCUUGAUGUUCACUCCAGCAUAUUGGCAAUCUUCCCCAGCUUUCUUUACCCCUGGACGACAUGGGUCCUUAAUACCCACCAAUCCUAAUAGGGUUAGGUUGUCUUCAAUUAGCUUCUUCUGAUCUUUUUCAUUUCGAUGCUCUUCUUCUGGAACUUGUUUAUGUGCAAAAGCUAUGCAUCGGAGGCUGCUAGCUGCCAUACCUUGAAUAAUUUGCUGAAAUCUUUCCUUUUCGCCAUCAUCCAGAUCUUUGAUGUUUCCAGAAGCAUCAUAGUAACUUGAACACAUUGCUAGAAUCAUCUCUGCUGCUCCUUUCCAGUGCACGUGGCCUGUGUUGUCCGUCUUCUUCUGCAUCAUGACCCCACUACGUUUCUUUUUCGAAUGGAAGGCUUCCACAUGGAGAACGAUACAACUCUGCUUUACCGCCUCCAUAUCCAUGUUCAUCUCCAGGACAGCCCAAGAAAGAAUUGCUUUUUCAGUGGGACUGCCUGAAAACUCAACAUCAGAUACCGAAGUUUCCCUGUAUACGCUGCCGGUCGUAUUCAGAGCAACUCCUUCUUGGAUCAAUUUAAUAAUAUUUGGAGAAACUGAUGAGCACCACCUUCUUUUACAUGUUCUUUGCCGAGCCAAAACUUUGUCAGCUUCAUCCGAUUUUCAGUGAGUGUGCCUGUUUUAUCCGUACAAAUGGUGGUCGCAGAACCCAUUGUUUCACAGGCAGAGAGCUUCCUCACCAUAGCUUGAUCAGCCAUCAUUCUCUUCAUGGAAUAAGCAAGAGUAAGCGUAACAGCCAAAGGGAGACCUUCUGGUAUCGCAACCACAAUAAUAGUAACUGCAGCAGCUACAAUCCCCACAACAGCAUUCACUAUAUCGUCAACCUUUGUCUUGCUUCCAUUAUACUCCUGGUUUCCAUUCUCGUCUGUUGUAUUCCCUGUGAAGUAGCGAACCAGCAAGACGACAAGAACCAAGAAAGCAACUGCCAAUCCAAUCUUGCCUGUUGAUGAAGUUAGCUUGUUGAGCCGGGCUUGUAAGGGCGUCUGCUCACUGUUGUCGCGGCUUAUUUGGCUCAUCAUUUGGCCCCAGGUUGUGUUCAUUCCAACGGACGUGGCAAGCAUGCGAGCAUAACCAUCAGCCACCUUUGUGCCAGAGAACAAGAAUGGAUUCUGGCUGCUGUUAACCUCCACAUGAUCACUCUCCCCUGUCAUGCUUGAUUCGUCUACUUGUAACGAAUGGCCAUCUAAGAACAAUCCAUUAGCAGGUACUUGAUCUCCAAUCUUUAAACAUAUGACAUCUCCAACGACAAUUUCAAAGAUAGAUAUUUGUUGGCGGCGACCAUUUCUAAUGACAUCAAUUUGUAUAUUGUUGCUGACUUUUGAAAACUUAUCAAACUGUCGAUUCUGUGUAAAGUUGCUUCCAGCUGAAACGGCAAUGACCAAAAAGACAGCAACAAGUAUGCUUCCACCCUCAUACCAUCCCUCUUUCAAGCCAUGCUCCUUAAUGCCGAAGGCAAGAGAAAGCACAGCACAGCCUAAAAGAAUCAAAAUGGUAAGAUCUUUAAGAGCGUCCACAACAAAGUAGAACAAGCUCUUNNNNNNNNNNNNNNNNNNNNNNNNNNNNNNNNNNNNNNNNNNNNNNNNNNNNNNNNNNNNNNNNNNNNNNNNNNNNNNNNNNNNNNNNNNNNNNNNNNNNNNNNNNNNNNNNNNNNNNNNNNNNNNNNNNNNNNNNNNNNNNNNNNNNNNNNNNNNNNNNNNNNNNNNNNNNNNNNNNNNNNNNNNNNNNNNNNNNNNNNNNNNNNNNNNNNNNNNNNNNNNNNNNNNNNNNNNNNNNNNNNNNNNNNNNNNNNNNNNNNNNNNNNNNNNNNNNNNNNNNNNNNNNNNNNNNNNNNNNNNNNNNNNNNNNNNNNNNNNNNNNNNNNNNNNNNNNNNNNNNNNNNNNNNNNNNNNNNNNNNNNNNNNNNNNNNNNNNNNNNNNNNNNNNNNNNNNNNNNNNNNNNNNNNNNNNNNNNNNNNNNNNNNNNNNNNNNNNNNNNNNNNNNNNNNNNNNNNNNNNNNNNNNNNNNNNNNNNNNNNNNNNNNNNNNNNNNNNNNNNNNNNNNNNNNNNNNNNNNNNNNNNNNNNNNNNNNNNNNNNNNNNNNNNNNNNNNNNNNNNNNNNNNNNNNNNNNNNNNNNNNNNNNNNNNNNNNNNNNNNNNNNNNNNNNNNNNNNNNNNNNNNNNNNNNNNNNNNNNNNNNNNNNNNNNNNNNNNNNNNNNNNNNNNNNNNNNNNNNNNNNNNNNNNNNNNNNNNNNNNNNNNNNNNNNNNNNNNNNNNNNNNNNNNNNNNNNNNNNNNNNNNNNNNNNNNNNNNNNNNNNNNNNNNNNNNNNNNNNNNNNNNNNGCAGAACCCAUUGUUUCACAGGCAGAGAGCUUCCUCACCAUAGCUUGAUCAGCCAUCAUUCUCUUCAUGGAAUAAGCAAGAGUAAGCGUAACAGCCAAAGGGAGACCUUCUGGUAUCGCAACCACAAUAAUAGUAACUGCAGCAGCUACAAUCCCCACAACAGCAUUCACUAUAUCGUCAACCUUUGUCUUGCUUCCAUUAUACUCCUGGUUUCCAUUCUCGUCUGUUGUAUUCCCUGUGAAGUAGCGAACCAGCAAGACGACAAGAACCAAGAAAGCAACUGCCAAUCCAAUCUUGCCUGUUGAUGAAGUUAGCUUGUUGAGCCGGGCUUGUAAGGGCGUCUGCUCACUGUUGUCGCGGCUUAUUUGGCUCAUCAUUUGGCCCCAGGUUGUGUUCAUUCCAACGGACGUGGCAAGCAUGCGAGCAUAACCAUCAGCCACCUUUGUGCCAGAGAACAAGAAUGGAUUCUGGCUGCUGUUAACCUCCACAUGAUCACUCUCCCCUGUCAUGCUUGAUUCGUCUACUUGUAACGAAUGGCCAUCUAAGAACAAUCCAUUAGCAGGUACUUGAUCUCCAAUCUUUAAACAUAUGACAUCUCCAACGACAAUUUCAAAGAUAGAUAUUUGUUGGCGGCGACCAUUUCUAAUGACAUCAAUUUGUAUAUUGUUGCUGACUUUUGAAAACUUAUCAAACUGUCGAUUCUGUGUAAAGUUGCUUCCAGCUGAAACGGCAAUGACCAAAAAGACAGCAACAAGUAUGCUUCCACCCUCAUACCAUCCCUCUUUCAAGCCAUGCUCCUUAAUGCCGAAGGCAAGAGAAAGCACAGCACAGCCUAAAAGAAUCAAAAUGGUAAGAUCUUUAAGAGCGUCCACAACAAAGUAGAACAAGCUCUUAGAUGGAGGUUUCUUGUACGUGUUUGAACUAAAUGCUUCAUGUCUCCGAGCAAUAUCUUGAUCAUUCCCAAAGAUUCCAGCAUCAAAAUCUGUUUCGAGAGCAGAGGCUACGCCGCGAAUCCCGCCAAACUCGUGAAGUUUGUCGAGAUCUUUCAUCUUCACAAGCUCAACAAGACUCGUUUGAUCAAUCUUGAAUGAUUCAUCAUCGUGUUGAAGAUUUACAACGGUGUAAGAUGGAGAGCGGGAAGCCUUGUUGACACCCUUCUUGGCUUUAGCAAUUUCUGCUAGUGACAAAAGUGUUCUGGAGCAGUAGAUUUUAGUGAAAGCUGAGUGCCAUUUUUUGGUGGGCACGUUAAGGGUGGCCGGAAAAUUGAGCAAAGACUCUAUGGAAACAGCGUUUGCAUGGAAAAUGGUAGACAUAGACAUAGUAGUGUGAUUGAUAGGAGACAAAAUGAAAUUAUAAAAGAGAAGAAACAAAGAUGAUUUGAAAAAUAUUUAAUCUGCACUAAUUGGACAAAGCUAGGAAUUUGAGAAUACUUAAAAAUAGAUAAGCAAAUAACAAAAUGCUGGGAGGGAUGUGCAAAGCUUCAAUUGGUUCGUAUUUAUUUUACGCACAAGUGCGCAAGUCGGUUUGUGGGGGUUUCGCUGGAGAUCACGCAUGUGACUGCAUGUCUGCUGGUUUUGCUGACUUUAAUAACUGUGGCUGCUUGUUCACACGACACGUUUGCAAUUACUUUUGCCACGUAUAAGUCCUCGUUGUUAAGGCCUGUGAGGCUUGUGGGUCCCACUGUACCCCUCUAUCCGUUCAUGUCAUCGUGUUAUAUGAUACUGACAGUCCGCGGUGGAGCUGCAAAAGCGGAUUAACAUUUUUUUUCUUUUAAUACCAAUGCGUCUUAAUUUUUAUGUCACAGCUGUUAUAUAAAAAAAGAAAUUAUCAUUUACAUAUCUUUAAAUGAUAUUCGUAUUAAAUGUGUGUGCAGGGGCGAAGUUAACACUAUUUUUUAGGGUGGACUAAAAUUUUUUUAAUUACUAUCCAUACCAGGCAUGCACGCUACCAACCAUUCAUAACAUGUUUGAGAUAAACCAACAGUUCAUCCGGAUUAGAAAGACUUUCUUCAAUUACAAGGUCUUCUUUGAAAAUUCAAAUCAAGCAUGCAAAUUAGGAAAUUUAUGUAAUUAACUAAAAUAUUAUUUCCAAAAAUCUUACCCUGGCUACAGCCUGGGUAAGCCACCCUUUAGCUUCGCCCCUGAGUGUGUGAACACUUUUCAAGUGUAUUACUCGCAUACUCUAAGUUGAAAAAAUACUUUGUUCGUCCACCAAUCUGUUAACUUCCGUUCGAAAGUUAACAGAAUUGUGGUAAAUUGAUUAUUUCGCUCUUGAAACUCAAAAUAAGGUAAAAAGAUAAAUUUAUCCCAAAAAUUAACGUAAAUUUUCAAUACACAAUUUUUUUAUUUUGUUAUUAACAAUAAAUUUUUUGAUUAAAAAAUGAAUUAUUAAUGGUACAUAAUAUUAACAAUUAUCCAUAAAAAAUAUCCAUAUUAUACCAUAAAAAAUUAUUAACAAUAUAUUAUUUACAAUUAUACAUAUUAUACCAUAAAAAAUUGCAAUUGGAGCUUGGAGGAGUAGAUCUUCACAAAUUUAGGUUAAAUUUUGGAGGAGUAGAUUCGGUUGUAAAGUUUUGUUUUAGCAAUUAUUAACAAUUAUCUGAUAAAUAGGGUGACAUGUCAUGUUUAUUAAUAUAUAUCAUAUGACAUGUCAUUUUUUACUAAGUAAAUGGGAUGGCAUGUCGUUUUUGUUAGUCAAAGUUUCGUUCAUCUUAAAAAACUAGAUUACCCUUAUGAUGUCAGUGCUUGCAAACGGAAGUUAACAGAUUGGUGGACGGUAGAAGUGUUUUGUCAACUUAGGGUAUACGAGUGAUACACUUGAAAAGUGUUCACACACGUUUGAUACGGGUGUCAUUUAAGGGUAUAUGGCUGAUAAUUUUCCUAAAAAAAUUAUAAUUAUAAAAUAUAAAUUAAUAUUGUGUAGUAGAUAUAAUUUUUAAAUAAUAAUUUUCAUUAAAAUAAUAAAAAUAUCAUAGGUUAUUCAUCAUAUAAGUGUUUGAUUAAUUCAACAUAACUUUCAAGCCAUAAUAGUUAAUGUUUACUAUAUAUUUUAAUGCUGUACAUUUUAAACUACAGCUAUAUAACCUCAAUAUCAAACAUAGCCUUACUUAUACUUUCAUCUAAUAAAACAUUAUUAUUUAUAUAAUUUUCUAUAAGAGUAAAUUUAAAAUAAAUAAAAUUUUAUUAUUGGUGCAUGAACUUUCUUCUAUAUAUGUAUAUUUUUUUUUCUUAUUUGAUUAUAACCAAAAUAAAAAAUUGAGAUUCCUUUAAAACUUGUUUGGUAAAUUUAGAUUGAGAAUUAUGAUGAUAUUCCUACAACUUAACGCAAGUUUUAAUUUUUUUUUUCAAAUUCAAUAUACUUUGUUUGAAGAAAUGUUAAAUAAUAAUAACCAAAAAUAGUAUCAAUAUUCGAUCGUAAUAUUGGUAAUGUAUAAAAAGUGAAAGGAGCUCUAUAUGACUUAACUCUUGUUGAUUUAAUUUAUAUUCGAAUUUAUUUUUAUCUUAAAUGAUAUAACAUUCAUUGAUUGAAUGAUGAAACAUAAUAAUUAAUAAUUUUAUUAUUUAUAAAAACUUAUCAUCGAUGAAUGGCACCUUAACUUGGUAUCGGAAAAGUUGAUAUACUAGUAGAAAAAUUAAUGCAAUAUUUAUUCAUCCAUUGAAUGGAACAGGAAACGUAUCGAUGUUGGAUUUCCAAGAAAUGACCAAACUAAAGUCGCGUCCGGUGCAAAGAAAAUGCUAUGUGAAUAUAUAUUCCGAGUCCACUGACAUAGUGGAUGGAGUGAUGCGUAAUUAGUUGAACAACCAAUUGCAAUUGCAGGUAUUAAACAAUUAAAAAAUUUGCCAUUUCUCGACAAGUUUACUGCGCCCAUACCGUUCCUUAUCAUUUUCGUUCAACGUGCAUCAUAUAAUUCUUCGAAAACUUCCAUGCUGUUAUUUUUGCAACGUACGUAGUGGAAUGUGAAAUUUCCCCAGCAGUACCGGCCGAAAAUGAAACAUUUCAUUCAAAGUCAGUGAGCCGUUUGGAGUUGUUAUAUUGACUAAACAAAACUUAAUUUCAUUCUUCAAGUUCAUAGAUGGAAUGUAAGAUUAAGAAAUUGGUGCCAAGUACAAUUGACCAAAGUUUUCAGAAACACGAGUUUCUUGAUAAAGCAAUAUCUCUUUUGGACGUAUUUACUUGCAAUACAUUUAUUUAUUGCAUUAUGGUGAGCGGGUGUUAAUCGACUUUUUCAUGCAGUUGUGAGAAAAUGGUUUUCGUAUCAGAUCCUGGAUUAAUAUGUCUACAUAUAUACUUUUUGAGAAGCAUUUGAAUCAGAUUCUGCACUUUCAAUUCUGAAGAAUAAAGCGCUCAAAGAUUUUUAGUUAGGGAAAAAAAAUAAAAUGUAAAAUCACCUGGAAAUGCAUAAGCAAAAUCCUAUAGAUUCUUUGUUAUGAUGAGAAAUUUACUUACGUAAGCGUGUUUCUGAGAAAGAAACUUUCGGAUAAUAAAAGUUCCUUGACAAAUUGAGUUGUCCCCCGGCCAGUGUCAGCCCGUUUCCUAUUCAUGAAAUGUACGGGUUGCUUACCCUGCUUACUGCCUUCACAGUUCUUUUGUAAGAGCCCCUUUGUAUAAAAAAUAAAUAAAUAAAUAAAUAAAAGUUCCUUGACUUGCGUGAGUCGCCUUUACUGAUAGUCUGAUACGAAGUUGCUCAGGGCGGACAAAUGACUUUUGACUCCAGAUUCUGAAACAUUUUCGACCUGCAGGAUUUUUUUUUUCUUCCAUCUUGUGACAAUUUCAUGUCCAACUCAUCAUCUCUAUCCAUUAUGAUGACCUCAUACUUAUGAAUUUCCAAAUUUUGUGGGAAGGUUUGUUUAACGGUAAUAUAUUAUGGUUAGGGGUGGUAAUGCUAUCCGUAAAUUUGUAAAUUUGUCUAAACCCGGUUUGAGUAAUUUUCUAGAUUGGGGGCAAAUUUAUUAUUAUAACUUAAAACCCGCAUUAGAUUGCAAGUGCAUUUGGUAUUACCCAAAUAUCCAGUGGAUACCCGUACGAGUAUUUGGUAAACCCGCAACUUCUUUUUAUUUUUCUAAUUUAAUUUAAAUUAAAAAAUACUUAAAUAUACAAAUAUACUUAUAUACUUAUUAUAAUUUUGAUGAAAUUUUCUUUAACUUCAUGUAUGAAUUAUUUCAUUAUUAUAAUUUUAUUCUUUAGAUUAAUAUUUAAAAAUUAUUAUUCUUUAGAAAAUAUUAAUUUUAAUCAUUAAUGUGAGAAUCGUGUUGAAUAGGUGAUGAUGAAAUGAAGAUUUUCUCUAAGGAGUUUGUGUUGAAUGAUAAUAUGAAAUGAUAACUGUUGUUUUUAGAUACUAGUUUGUACCUUUUUUUAAAUAGAUUUGUAUAUUUUAUACUUAAAUUUAAGAAUUUAUGUUGGAUUGAUGUUGAAAUUUUAAUUUUUCAUUUACAUUGGUUAAUUAGAAUUGAUAUGUUAUGUGGAAGUUUAGAUUAUUAUUAUAAAUUUACAUAUUAAACAUUUAUGAUUUUAAAUAUAGAAACCCGUAAAAAAUCUAAUAGAUACCAUUGCGGGUUUGAUAAUUGUCAAAAUCCGUAGAGAGUAGAUUUUCUUAAAAAAUUUAAAACCUAGAGUAAAUUGCGAGUGAGUUUGAUAAUUUAAAUUUUAUGCGGAUGUGAGCUUGAUAAUGAUAAAGCCGCUACCGGUUGUGCCCACUACUACUGGAGGGUUGUGAUUCAAAGUUUAUAUUUAUAAUUUAGUUGAUGUGACUUACAUAUGAUGUCACGUAAUUGCAAAUUAUUAUGCGUUAAGCAAUUACUUACGGCACCACAUAAUUUUUCUGUCAGUCUGAUGAUAUUCAGGAUGGUCACGUAGGUUACGUUGAUUAAGAAUAGAAUAUAAGUUUAUAUCCUAACUUUAUAAAUGAGAACUAUUUCUUAUUUGAUUAACUUAAAAAAAUUUGGCUAAUUGUUUGGGGCGGGACUACUGAGAUAUGAGUCUACCACGUCAUUUGUACGACUAUUUAAUAAUAAAAAAGUUUUAAAACACAUUCAUUAUUUUAUUAGAUGAUCUUGCCUGUCUUCAAAGUUGUCAAAGUUUAAAAUAUAUAUCAUAACUACGCGUCCAUUGUAGUGUUUUCUAGAAAAUUUUAAAAUUCCUCGGCUGAGGCCCAGUUAUUUAGAGUCAGGCGGAUUAUUUCACCACAAAUUAAGAGAAGUGGAAGGACUGAUGAUUAGGAUUUAAAAGUCAAGCCAAAUUAGUAAACUGGGGUCCCCCAUUGUAAAGAUUGUUAGAAAAUAAUAAGAAUAUGGAGGCAAAUAACAAAGAAGUUUUCUUAGGAUUUGAGACGUGUUUGCACACUUUCCUUUAAGGUUUUAUUUGCCCUCACCAAUCUUGGUUUGCUAUAGAGUUUUAAUGGCAAAUUACCCCCAAGAUAUAUCAAAUCCUGAAUACAAUCUCUAGCAAAUAAGAUUGUAUUUCCAAAACAUAUAUCAAACCUGUAAAAUCUGAUAUUAAUCUAAUUGUAUAUGUUUCCUUUAUGAAGAAGAUGUUAAUUCAAAAGAAUGCAACCAUUCGAAAUGGUACUUCUUCAAAAAACUCUUUUGGUUUGAAUUUGCAACGAUUAAUACUUGAAAUUUUCCAGAAUGUCAAAUAUGUUGCUCUCUGUACAUAAAUGGUUAACCGUUUUCUCAAUAACCGGUGAGCCGUUUUCUCUAGACUAUAAAACAUGCUCUCUGGAUUUAAACGGUUAGUCGUUUUCUCCAUAAACGGUGAGCCGUUUUCUCUAGACCAUAAAACAUGCUCUCUGGAGUUAAACGGUUAGCCGUUUUCUCCAUAAACGGUACGCUGUUUUACCCAGAACAGAAAACAUGCUCUCUGGACUUAAACGGUUAGCCGUUUUCUCAAUAAACGGCAAACCGUUUUAGUCCAGAAUAUCAAACCAAAAAACUUGAAAGAUGUUACAAUCUCUCUUACAAAGAUAAGCUCAAAUGACCCGGAAUUGGCUGCCGAAACGCCCAUACCUGAUCAAUGUCUGAGGAGGGCCGCCAUAUUUGUUGCCAUAAACAAAAAGUUUAGCAGAAGAGAAGGAAAUGGAAUCUUUCCUAGAUCCAAUGCUUGACAAAACAUUCUUAAUUUCAGUUCGCAAACUUUAUUAGCUCCUAAUUAGAUUGAUUAGGAGAACAACAAAGACGUUUCCCCCAUAUGGGUGCAGAAUGCUCUAAUCAUUUCAUCAACUAAUCCUUUUGUUUUAAAUAAAGUGAUAUGUGAAUUUCCACCAAGUCUCUUCUUUCUGAUCUAUCAACUUUACAUUAGAAAAAACAAGUGCGAGUGUGAGGGUCCAAAACGCAUCACUUUUGAGCAUGGCUAGUGUAACACCCGGUGUUUUUGUUUUUGGGUAUUGAAAAGGCUGGACUUAUAAAAAAAAAUCCUAUACGCUUAUUUUAUUUCUCAAAACUCUAGAGACUAAUAAUGAGGAGAGAUUAUAAUAACAAACACAACAAUAAACUCAUGUUUUUCACGAAGAGAGGGGAAGAUUUUGAUUGUAUUUCUGUUUUUCCAUCAAAGAAGUUCUUGAGUUCUGAUUUUGUUUUGAAAGUACAUAAAAAUUUAUAAUCCUUUGAACUUCUGGUUUUGAUUGUGAUUUUAUGUGAUUGAUUGGAUGACUUUGUAUGUAUUAUAUUGAUAAAAGUGUGAAAGCAUAAUCAUGUAUUGAUUUAUAUUGUUAUUGAGUGAAAGUAGUGCUAUUAUAUUAUCCUGAAAAACUCUAAACAAUAUAGAUUCAAUGCAACAUUACUGUUAUUUUCAUUAAGUUUCAUGCAUAAAACUUUACAGUUUAUUAAAUUAGAUAUUUUUAUCUUUCUAUCCAUGUGUAUAAUUGUUUUGAUUUUUUGAAAUUGGAACAGUGGUGCUGGAAAAUUUCAAUUUUUAGCAGUAAUUCUCGUUUCUAUAAUUUAUUUCAUAACCCAAAUGACUCCUGAAAAUUUUGGGAACUUUUAUUACAGUACACAUUUAUGUGCCGUUUCUAUAUUUUUGAUUUCGUAAUUUUUUUCUUUAUAUAAAAAUCAUCAAAAAUCAUAGAGUUGGUCUACCACAAUCUUGGAAACUGUUUUCUAUAAUUGCAAGGGCUGAUAUUUAAGCGAGUUUGGGUUAACUUUUCAUCACUAAAUGCCUUAUAAAUUUUAAUUUUGAUUUCUUAUUGUCUCCUCUGAUCGUCAAAAUUGGAAUCACUAUUUUUGAACUUGUAUAACUAAAGUUAUGAAUUUUUGAAUUAGCUAUCCUCUGUUUAUAUUGUCACUAGACAACUUUGAUGCUUUUGUAAAAAAUCAAAUUUUGGAGAUGUUUAUGAACUAUAAUUAAUUUUGUUAAAUUUUAUAUUGAUUGCCAACAUGUUUACAGUAGCUUUUUGUAAUAUUUGUAAUUUUUCCAAUACAGUUAUAGCUUAUUGGAAAUCAACUCCUCUAUGAUAGUUUAGCGUAGUUUAGUGAAUUGAUGUGCUUAAGUAAGAGUUGAUGGUUUAAGAAUUUUUGGGCUUUCCUACCAAGGUCAGAAUUGAAUAAGAUAUUGAUAAGCAUCUUAUCUUGAUAAUUAUAUGCAAGAGUGACCUUGUGUGAUUGAGGUUAUUGUUGAUUGCUUUGGAUUAAGGUAAGUGAAUUCAUGCAUAAUGUUUAUUAUAAGUAUAUAUGUAAAUAUUUAUGAAUAGAAUAAUAUUAUUCAAACAGAUUGGCAAGUUAUGAUUUUGAAGCUAUUUUAAAACAUUUUCUUAAAUUUGUUUUAAGAAUUAAAUUAUUUGUUUUUCUAUAAAUAUUUUCCUGAAAAAUAUUUGUAAAGCUUUGCCAAUUCAAUGUCUUAUAAGCGUUUUAUCGAAAUAUUACUAAAUGAAUGAUAUUACAAGACUAGAAACCAUUUUUUAAGGUUUUGGCCCAUUGUCCGUAUUUGUCGUUACUGAUAUUAUUGAACAGCUAGUUGUAUUAUAGGCACCUAUUGACAAUUAUUGUAGGGUAAAGUACCUUGGUUGAACUAUUGGCUGGGUCACCAGGAUUAUAGAUGACAUAUUGAACUAUUGGCCGGGUCACCAGGAUUACAGGUGACAUAUUGAACUAUUGGCCGGUUCAUCGGGAUUACAAGUGACAUAUUAAACUAUUGGCCGAGUCACUGAGAUUACAUGUGACAUACUAAAUUAUUGACCAGGUCAUGGGAGUACAUGUGACAUUAUGAGAUAUGAGCAAAUUGAACGAAAUAAAGAUUUUAUUAAUAAAAGAUUUCUUACACAAUUAUUCAUUGAAAAUGAUCAUUACGUUAUGAUUUAGCUAGUAAUGAGUUUUACCGCACACAUAUGAUUAUAAAAUGAUUACUAUUUCUUGACUCAUGGUACUUCAUAAUAAUAAUUAUAUACUUUUCCGUUAUUAGUAACCUUAUGUAUGGGUUUGCUUACUGAGCUGAAGGCUCACUCCUCUUGUCCAACAUUUUGCGGAUUGAUUUUAAAGAUUUGGGCUUUUGGUCUAGCAGAGAGGAUUUUUAGCUGAAAAACUUUGGCAUUUUCUAAAUUAAUUAAUUGUAGUUACUUUAAUUAUUGCUUAGAGUUGGAUUUUAUUUUGGAGGAUUAUUCAGUUAUUUAUUAUUUUAGAGACUAUACUUUGUCAAUGGACAAUAUCAACUUUAUUUGGGAAUAGUAAUAAGAUUAAUGUUAUAAGAUUUCAUUCUAAAUUUCUCUUGCGAUUUUUGGGUGAAUUUAGGGUGAAUUUAGGGUGUUACAAUUAGAGCUACAAUGUUUCAAGGAAAUGCAUAGUUAUCAUGAUCUUAGCCUUAAAAGGUUUUUGCUGCCCUUGGCCACCCCACUUUCAGCAAGCUUAAAUAGGUUUUAUCCACAAGAUGAGUACAAUGAGCACUCUAAUAUUUAAAAUAAUUUUUAGUAAAAAAAAAAAAUCAAAUAUAUGGUCAACGACCCAACGUUAAAGUCAAGUAUAAAAUUGAAGUGCAAGAAGACGAUCUCCAAUUUUCCGCAACUCAAUUAUUGUUUGGCGUAGUCAGAAUUAUGCAUUUAAGAUUAGAAUUAUAUAUUUUACGUCAUUGAAUCGCGCAAUUGCGAAUUUGAUCGCCAAUUUGGCAUUUUUUGUUUCACUGUUUGAAAAUUUUUUAUGAUAUUUUUUAAUUUAAAAAAUUCGAAUAAAUAUUAUGAAAUUUGAAUAUCAUCAUUUUUUGUGUCUCUAUUCAUCGGGGUCAUACUACAACACUUACUAUUUAAAGACACAUAAUGAAUAAUAUUGAUCUACAUGUAGAUAGAUCGCGAUAUCUUUAUAAGAGUAAUGUUAUACGUGCUAAAGUUUUAUAACAAAAUUUAAUCUCAAAUAAUAUGUUAUUUAUCAAAUAAAUAGUGGAAUGAUAUAAUUUAAUUCACUUGAAAAUUAUAAAAAAAAAUUAUUAACAAUUUGAGAAAGGAAAAGCAGCAGAGGUGGAAUCCUCCCCCCAGGGCUGUUUUUAAAGUCAAUGUUGAUGCAGCCACCAAUAGCCAACAGAAGAAGGUUGGAUUGGCAGCAGUUAUAACCAACUCAAAAGGCAAGAUUAUAGUUGCAGGCAUUAAUCAGUCUCAUUUAAAGGAAGACAUCAGUAUUGCAGAAGCUGAAACAGUUGAGUGGGGUCUUCAGGUGGCAAGGAAAUUAACUCUUCCAUGCUUGAUCAUUGAAUCAGAUUAUAAGGAGGUGGUGGAGCUUGUUAACAACACAAAGGAUAGCAGAACAUCAAUUGACUGGAUUAUUUCAAAAAUCCAGUAUCCCUUUAGAGAUCUUCAUUCUGUUAAUGUAAAAUUUGUUCCUAGAGGCUGUAACGCUCAUGCCCAUUCUUUAGCGAAAUUCGCUCUAGAGAAAGAUUCUUCUGCAGCCCGGGAAAUUUUUUUUUCAAUAGACAUACAAUUUGUAUUAGAUAAUGUUGUUCUUGUUUGAAUGAAAUGUUUACUUUCUUUUUAAAAAAAUAAAAAUAAUACAUCACAUAUCACAUCAUUCAAAAUAAAAUUUAAAAUAAAAUUUUGAGAUAUCUAUUAUUUUGGGACAUCUAUCAUUAAUCUUUUUUCACGUACGGACUUAUAGCCUAUUGAUUGGUAUUCUCCAUUACAUUUAAGCAUCAAUUUAAUGAGCCAAAAGAACAUGCCUUAUAAGUUUUUAAUUCGAUUUCAGGAAAUGGUCAUAUGCAAUGCACGUGUUCUAUUGACAAACAUGCAAUUUUCAUUGUUAUUAUUGUUAUUGUUAUUUUUUUUUUUUUGGGAUAAUCAAGCUCGACAAUUGUUUUGAGGAAGCAUGUGCAACAGAUCACGCCAGACAACAUAAACAGUUGCUUCUAAUUUUAUGCAAUUUUUAUUUUAUUUUCCCUUGAACUAAAGGGAAGAACAAGGCUUAUCAUGUGAAAGAGUAAUCUUCAAGUGUAUCGUUCAUUUAUUAAAAAAAAAAAGGAAAAAUCUACAUAAUUUGAACAAGGAGGCAAAAAAAAAGAAAAAAAAGAGGAAAGAAAGAAAACAUUUAUUUCACUUGCAAUUUUACAUAAAUAACUUAUUUUUGGUUUAAAAAAUAGAACAAUACUUUUUAGAAGCAAAUACAUUCAAUUGUGUCCAAAUUUAAAGCAUGUUUGAAAGGGAAGGCAAAAGUUAAAAUUUUCAUAAAACGGACGACAUUUCAAUUGAAACCUUUAUAUUUUUUUUGUAAUAACAAAACCAAAGACACAAAUGUGAAAAUUGAUUCUUAGGGCUCGUUUGGUAUUGUUUUUGAAUUUGUAUUUUCUGAGAAUAAAAAUGAAAAUGAAAAUGGUGUUUUGCAGUUGCUGUAUUUCGAAUUUAAAUAUGCGUCUGGUAUAAUUUUCUGUAUCCUGUAUUUUAAAACUGAAAACAGUAAUAUGCGUUCGGUAGACAGAGUUGAAAAUGAUAAAAAUAGAGAAUAUGCGUUCAGUAAUACUUUUUUGAAAAACAGUUUUUACUAUUAAGCAUUUACAUCAUAUUUAUAGUUAUAAAAUAAUUAUUUAGCUAAUACAUACACAAAUACAACAUAAUAAUUUAAAACAAAAUUAUGAUGAAAAAUUUACAUGAUGAUAAAGUUUUAGAAUUAACAUUAAUUAAAAAAAAAUUACAUUGUCAUUGUUUUUACAUCAUAAUUAAGAUAUAUAUUACAACACAUGAUUUAAACAAAAUAAUUAUAAAAAAAAUACAUGAUAGACAUUAUGCAUUACGUAUGUAAUCAUGCCACAUAGAAGCUGCAAUUCUAUCUCUUGUAGCACUCAUCUCGGCGACACUUGCUGGAGAUAAAUCAAUAUUAGUAAGUGGCCUACUAGUGUCUCCUUCUUCAUUGGUAACCAAAUCUUGCACAUCAAAGUCCCCAAAUAACCUAUCACUUGCAUUUUCUCGUUGAAUAAAGUUAUGUAAAGCGCAACAUACAAUUGGAAUUAGACAUUGCUUACGUAAACUAUAAUUAUGCAUAUCCCUUAAAAUUGAAAAUCGCGCUUUUAAAACACCAAAGCAUCGCUCAAUUACAUUACGCAAUGAUGAAUGUCUAUAAUUAAACAAUCAUUGGGGACCUCUAGGUGCUCGACCUGAUCCUCUAUAAUCACGUAAAUGAUAUCUCUCACCUCUAUAUGGUGUCAAAAAUCCUUUCAUAUUUAUGUAUCCAGAAUCCACAAUGUAGUAAUAUCCUAAAAUAUAGAAACAAUAAAACAUAACUUAAUUAAAAAAUAAAGGCCAAAGAUAUUAACACACACACACACACACACACACACAUAUAAAUCUCAAUAUUCUUACAUUCUUCCAGACGUGGAAACCCAGAUUCUGGUCUAUUUAAGGCAUCCAUAAACACCCUUGAGUCAUUGGCGGUACCUUCCCAGCCCGUAUAUACAAAUGUGAACAUCAUGUCAAAAGAACAUGCACACAUGAUAUUUUGAGUCACAUGAGUUUUUCUAUCUCGAUAUGAUAUCUGUUUAUGUGGUGGUGACUAUGCAUCAAUGUGGGUUCCAUCAAUUGCACCGAUACACUUAUGUGAAAAUAUGUCAAGAUUAUUAAUUUAUUAACCAAAUGUUAAUGUCACAUAAACUUUGAAGUAACAUGUAUUGAAUUUCUUACCUCAAAAUAUGGAAAAAAAAUUGGAUUGUUUCUAAUCUCUGAUGGCGUUUCCCUUUGAGGUUUUAGUUUUAUAAUGUGAUUUGCCAAUUGACAAAGUGCUUUUAACACAUGCUUAAAGUGUGUAAACACAGUAUCCCCUGAACGUUGAAAACGCUCAGAUACAACCCGCACAACAGCACCAUGGGACAAAACAUACAAGCACAUUGCUACAGCCUCCUUGAUACAAAUAUUUCUAUCAUUCUCUAAUAACUUUAGAUGUUCAAGUGUAUAACAUAAUCGAAUAAAAACUUCCUUAUCCAUUCGAAACAUGUUAUACAUCCUAUUCAGAUGACCAUUUAACAAUUCUUCAACAAAUUCAGUACCAGAUAAUUGUCCUGUAUACACUUGCCUUUUAAUAGCACGCUGUUGUUUCUCAUAAAUUUUUAUAGCAAUGGCUACCUCUAAAACCUCUUCUUCAAUAUCUGUUAAACUAUCAAUAUCAUCAUCUUCAUUGCUGUUGUUGUUCAUUUUUCUGAUCUGAUUAAAAAAAAUCAUAAUUUAUAUCUCAAGUAUAUGAUAAUUGAUCCAAAAAAAAAAUUAAAUAAACACACAAAUACAAAAUGAUUCACCAUAUAAAUAUAUUGUACCAAAUAAAUAAAUAAAAACAUUAGAAAGUUCAAUUCACCAAAAUAAAAUAAAGUUCAACAAAUACAUUUCAGCUCAUAAAAAUAACAUAAAGUUCGACAAAUAAAAGUACUACAAAGUCCAAAUCAUAAAAUGAACAAACACACGGUUCACAACCAAUAAAAUCUAAGUUAAACGCAUUACAUUUUAAAAAACAAACUAUAAACUAGUUAACCAAUAUUUUUUCUAUGCUCAGGCAUGCUCAAAAAAGCUUUCCUCCACUCAAUACUAGGCUCCAUCAAUAUCUCCCAAUUUCUCCACAGCUUCAAUACACUCUUUAAUAGACCACUUUUCAAUACAUUGAGAAGUUGACUCCGCACUUUUGCAUUUAACCAUCUCCAUUCUAGCAUUCAUCACUGAACUAGUCAUUUUAAAGUAACUGUCGAACUCACUCUUAUUUUUUUUACCACGCUUAGUUGAAGUUGCAACUGGCCGACGAUGCCUUUUUUCUAUUUUAGGCUCGGAAAGAUGUUCCAUUGAAUCAUCAUCCUCAAUAUCAACAUGAACUCCAUGACCAAGAAAUUUGUCUUCCAAUUCACGAUCCUCAUCCGAGGACAAUGGAACUUGGCUAGAGAAAAAACAUAAAUGGCCAGAAGCUGUGGUGGUGUUGAAUAUCUCUCCUAAGGUUUGGUAAUGCUCUAAUCCUUUUUUACGAUAUGGCUUCACUCCAGGCACUCUCUGUGGAAAAAAAUAAGUGUGUAAAACCAAAAAAUAAUAUUUUAAUUUUAUACGAAACUAUUUAAUAUACUACAAAUAUAGUUUUACCUUAAUAUAUUCAGCCCAAACAGCUUCCGAUGCUGUGACCGUAUUUGAAACAGGAUCCCAACCAAACCUGGUAUGAGCUACUAAGUCAGAAAACUCUCGAUGUUUUUUGCGCAACCUAUUAAACUUGGACUUAAGUUGCCCUAAAUUGAAUCUUUUUUGGCAUUGUUCUAACAACUCAUCACUUAUAGUGUUCCAAAUUUUCUUAGUGAAAGUUGAUGUUUGUAAAUCACCAUUUUUAACAUGGUCAUGUACAAUACGAAUAAAAACAGUUUCGGUCCAGCUAGACCAAUCAACCUUAUCCUCAACAUUAACAUCAACAUCAUGUGAAUCCAUAUCUUGAAAAAUUAGAAAAAAUAACACAUAUCAAAUAAUGAUCAAAUUCAACAUAACAUAUACAUAUUUCAGCAACAUGUCAUACAUUAAAAACUGAAUGGUACCCGAAAAAAUAAAAAAUAAAACAUAUAUCAAAUAUUAAUCAAAUUAAAAACACUGCUAUUAAAUUUUUAGAUAUAAACAUACAAUUUUCAGUACAUGCUAUUAAUCCCCCACUCAAUUUUCAGUAAUGUAAUAACCCCCAACAUGAUUAAUCUACAAUACUCUAGUUAUAUCAUUUGAGAUAUGUGGAAUUAUUAAGUACGAGGUGAAGUUUAUUUGAAUUCAUUAAAAUACUCAACAAACUCAAUUUCUCACAACACUCAUCAGUGAAAUUUUUAGUUUUACUUCAAACACCCAUUUUAAUCUAAUAAAGAUUCCUCUCAUACUCUUAUGACUAUUUUCUUCAUAAAAAAUAGUGGAAAUAUCAAAGAUCUCUAGUAUAAAGGGUAUAUUUUCCAGGAUAAUUUAAGACCCACAAAUUCAUCAAGUGAUUUAUACAAAAUUAUUACUUUUGGAAUUAAUAUAUCAAUAUAAAUUUAUUCAUUAUAAAAAUUUCGUAUGAGAGGAAGCUUCUUGAUUAUGAUUUGGCAUUAUGAAAAGAGAUUUUGGGAGUUUAUGCAAAAAUGAAUUCAAUUAUACUCUGCAAUCAAAUUGCCAGUUACAAUUUGAUUAUUUUCUCGUGCAUUUCUUUUUCUUCCUUUUCGCACAAAUCUGUGAAGGAUUUUUUUUUUUAAUUUAGGUUGCAUUAUCAAACUUGGAAAUAGAAUUAUUAUUUUUUGAACACAAAUUGAGAUUUCACAAUCUCUAAAAUAAAUGAGGAAAAAUUUCAGCUCAUAAAUAAACAAUUUGUCACUACAUAUGAACAACCUCAGAAAUUUCCAGAAUUAAAAAUCACUCAAAUCAUCUCUCAAAAAUUUCAGCUCAUAAACAAAAUAAAUACCAGCAAGUGACAAUGAAGUAGCAGUAGACGAAGAUCCGAGAGAGCAAGUGCAGAUCCGAGAGAGCAAAGACGAAGUAGCAGUAGCUGGAUGGAGACGCAGUAGUAGCAACUGGACGGAGUCGGAGUAGCAGCAACUGGACGGAGUCGGAGCAGCAGCGGUUACGGCAGAGAAAGAGCAGCGGCAGUGGCUAGCACACCAAGAGCGACCAAGAGAGAGAUUCGCUGCAACUGGAUUGAGAAAAUUGAGGGGAAAGAGGGAGCUGCAGUGAACUGAAUUGAGAGUGAGGGCUGCAGUGAAAAGAAAAGUGAGGGCUGCAGGGUCACGAUAGUGAACUGGAUUGAGAGUGAGGCCUGCAGUGAAGAGAAAAGUGAGGGCUGCAGGGUCACGAUUUCUUUGUUGUUUUUUAAUUCAUUUUUAGGUUUAGUUUGUAAAAUUUAGAGAACAUGUUUAACUUCAGUUGUAUAGUUAUAAUAAUGAAUCCGGAUUUUAUGUUUUGUGAAAAAAAUCCACCGAACAUGUUUUAUGUGUGUAUUAUAAAAAUGAAAACGAAAACAUGGCUUGCAAAACGGUACCGAACGGGGCCUUAGAUUCCUUGCAUCUCUUACAAGUCAAUCAUCACUUGGCAUGCUAUGACCGCAGCGCAAAGGAAACAUGAUAAAAUUGUGUGAGAAAGAGUGCACAAAAUAAUAAUAAUAAGACAAUACGCCAAAAAGAAGCUGGGCAUUGGUGCAAACGACUGAAAUUGACAGUUGAUAACGACAAUUUUUAAUAUCUCCCCUCUGUUUAUUAUUAUGAUUAAAUUACUUUUCUUUUUGAAUUUUUCGUCCGUUUGGCAGUGGUGUGAGAUAGUUGGGUUGUCAAAUCUUAACUAUUAAAGUGUUUGAUAACACUUAUAGCUGAGCUUUGGUAUUUUGAUAUAUUUUUUUUGACUUUUACUCCACAGUUGUAGUUUUAACUCUACAGCAGCGACAACUUAAAAGCUAUAACAACUCACUCUCAAACACACUCAAAAUCCUAUAAUUAAGCGGGUCACCAUCACUUGAUUACACCAACAUUUUUGCCGAUUAAUAAUUCAUAUUGCUUGCAAUGUAGGAUUUGGAACCGACGGCCGAUGUGAGGCUGAUUAAAAUCUAAAACUAAUUACCUUAUUUUUUUCUUUAAACAAUUGAGUAAAAUGCACAAUAGGUUGUGUUAGUUAGAAACGGACGAUCAAUAAUGCACGUAGAAUUACGAAAGCUAGAAAUCAUAACAAGUCAAAGUUUUGAUAGAGACAAUAAAGGGAGGAGAUAAUGUAGAAAUUAAAGGGUAAAGAGUUUUUUUCUUGCCCCCCUAUUUUUUGAAAAGGGAUAGGCAAUGAGCCUUCGUUACGGUAAUAUCUGGUGCUCAGUACUUAUUGUAUUAUCUUUUUGUACGAUAAGGUGAUUUAAAACAAAAAAGAAAAAAGAAAAAAAAACAUAUGAGUGGUGCUAUUGGCACACCUCCAACAUCCUCUUAAAUUAGUUGAUAGGUUUUUUUUUUUGGGUCCGGAUAUUUUUUCCGGAUAUUUUCAAACUAGACAAUCAGAAGACAGUGGAUUCUUUCACUCUGUAGAAGUUGAUAUUGGUAGAUGCAUGAGUGUUUUCUGGGCAGAUGGCAGGUCUAGAUUUUCAUGCAGUCAAUCUGGAUGCUACUAUUUUUGAUACUUCAUAUAGAAAAGGAGUUUUAAGAGGAUAAUAGAAGCCUAGAAGGGUCCCAAUGGUUCCAAUUCAAAAAAACACGCCUCCCUCGGUACUGCACAUGAAGACCAGGAGAGACUGAGUAGAUCUGACCCUACGGAAGCCCAAACCAACUUGGAAAGGCCCCAGUCUUUAGCUGCAGGCCCAAUGAAUACUAUGAUUUUGCUUAUUCAUUCGGUUUGAAUGGGUCGGGCUGAGUGGAUGCUAUUAAGUUUUAACACUUUCUUUCGCACAAUCCGUACGCUGCAACCAGAAAUCAGCAAGUAUUUUUUUUUUUGACAAGAAAUCAGCAAGUAUUGGCAAUGAAAUAUUCAGUGCACAACUUAAAUUAAAUUGAUCAUGACAUAACUCACAUGUUUACCCUUAUAAACAUUAGAGGAGCCCUUACUACACUCGUACGUAACCCAUACACAAGGGUAAAGCUAUUAAGGGGGCAGAGCUGGGCUAUAGCCUAGCCAAAAUUUGACAACAUUUUUUAGUUUUUUUGAUUAUAUAGUGCUAAUGUUGUUCACAGAAUUAAUAUGCAGUUUUUACAAAACCAUACACCACUGUUAUAUUUUAUAAAAACUGACAAAAUAAUGUUUAAAAGUUUAUCACUCAAUUUGUUUUAGAAUUUGGUAUGGUAAUAGAUCACGAUAUCUUUAUAAAAUUCAUUACAAAUAUUUCACAAUCAUCUAAAAUUUCUAAUUCAUAAUAAUAUUGUAAAUUCAUAAAAUUUUAGGAAUUAAAGAAAAUUUUUAAAAGAUAUUCACGGAAAAACUUGAAAAUUACUAUCCAAUUGAUGUAUAAUCUUCUUUAGUAUCUUCUAUCUUAUCUGGGAAUUUGUUCCAUGGACAACUUUUAUUUGUUUAGAAUGAUAUCUUAAAUGGUUAGUCAUGCCAUUUGAUAUAAAAAAUAAACCACAAGUAUUUCAAGAUUGAUAACAAUGGUAGUAUAUUAAUAACCUCAAAUGGAGAAAAUUUCUUUAAAAAUCAACAUUUAUUCAAACACACAUGGUGCCGUAUGAAAAGAAGUCAAUAACAAUUAAAAAAGAAAUAGACAUGCAAUAUUUUGAUUCAUUAUUAGAAGAAGACAAUACGGUAGAAAAUAAGGUAGAAAGAAAUAUUCACGAAAGUGAUGAGUUAGAAAAUAAUGAAUUGAAAUUUUAGACUCAAUAAAAUUAAUCAUAUUUUAUUAUAGAUGGUACAAUUUUUACCAAAAAAUGAUGUGCAAGUUUCUAAAAUAUUUUAUUAUAGAUAGUACAAUUUUUAUCAAAAUCUGAUUGUAAUUCUAAGUUGUUACUAGUUUUUGAUUCACUACUACUAUAUUCACUAAGAUUACAAGUUAAAUUUGUAUUUUUAUAAUUUGCACGUAUAGGUCAAUUACACAAUCAUAUAAAAUUUCCAAUUCAUUGUUUUUAUCUCAUUAUUUUUGUGUAUCUUACGUUCUAGCUUGCUUUUUUUCCAUCGUAUUAUCUUCUUCUAACAAUGAAUCAAAAUAUUACAUGUCUAUUUAUUUUUUUAAUUGUUAUUGACUUCUUUUCAUAUGACAACACAUAUUUUUCAGAUUUAAGUUCAAAAAUGUUGAUUUUUUUUUAAAAUCACUCCAUUACAUUACUAUUGUUAUCAAUCUUGAAAUGCUUGUAAUACAUUUUUUAAAUUAAAUGUCAUGAGUGACCAUUCAAAAUAUCAUUCAGAACAACUAAAAGUACAUAGAAAAAAGCCUCUAAAGUACUCAAAACUUUCAUCUUCAAGCCUAAUGGCAAUCUUCCUUGAUUGCCAUAAAAAAGUUAAAAGAAAGACAAUAUUUUAUUUUUAUUUUUAUUUUUAGCCGUGAAUUAAUAAAAAGAAAAUACUAGAAACCGUUGUAUCUAAAUCAGAUGGAUAAUUAAAUAAAUUACUUAAUCUGGCUUUAAUCAACAACACUAAGCAUGGAAAUUACUUUGAGAUAUUUUACGACAUUUUCACUCACUCGACUCACUCGUACCUCUGUUUUCCUUUCGCCUGGAGUGCCUAUGUCAUCAAGUCGUCAAUGGAAGGGAGUUGGACAAAACAAAAUCAAAAGGGGCAAAAUGUAAAUGAAAAUAUUUUACGUUUGCUGGGUUAUACGACGACGUUCCAGCUUAAAGCGUCCUGUGGGACGCACGCGUAGUACGGCGUCGUCUGAUAUCCGAGUUUAUAUGCGGUUCUUUUCUUAUUUCUAGUCUCGUUGUCGUCACUUUGAGCAGUAUUAUUCUAGUCGCAAGUUAAAAACUGUAAGGGCAUGUUUGGUGCAUGGGAUUGUGUGGUAUCAUAUCACUAUUCAUAUUAGUUUAUUACCAAGAAGAUGUUUGGCAAAAUUUAAGACCUCAUUAUACUGCAUUAUAAUGCAGCAUAAUGAGGCGUGGGGCCGCAUUACGCAAACCCGAGGGAACCUCGGAUUUGUGUAAUGCGGAAGCUUUUUGCCUCAAUUGAGGCAACAGUUAAUGCCUCAAUUGAGGCAAAUUUAUUUUAUUAAAAUAUUAUAAAAAUAAAUUAUUUUAUUAUUAAAUACUAAUAUAAUGAAUAAAAUAUAAAAAUAAAUUAUAUGAUAAUAUUAUUUUAUUUAUUAAUGAUUCAUAUAAAAAUAAUAUAUUAAUAUUAUAAUAUUAUUUACAUUAAUAUUAAUUUUAAAAUUAAUAUUAUUUAAAUUUAUGCAAAUUUAAAUAUUUAUAAUUAUUUAUAUUAAAUUAAAAAUUUAUUAAUAUAUUAAAAUGUAAAAAUAAUAAUAUAUUAUAAAUUAAAAUAUAAUUUAAUAUUAUUGAAUAAUAAUUUAUUAAUUUAUAUUAACAAUUAUAAUAUUAAUUAUAAUCUAAAUUUAUUAUUUACAUAUAAUAUUAAAUUUUAUAAAUUUAUUUUAUCAUAAUUAUAAUACAAAUUUUAGAAAUUUAAUCAUUAAUUUUUAAUAUUUACUAAAAAAUUGUUAAAUUUCUACAAUUAAGAUUUCUAUAUUUAUUAUUUUUCUAAGUAUUAAUAAAUAUAAUUUUUAAUUAUUUAAUUUAAUUAAUCAUAAAAAUUAAUACAAUACAAUGUAACACAAAAUAUAGUUUAAUUAAAAAUUAAUACAGUACAGUGUAGCACCAAACAUUGUACAGUAUUGUUAUAAUACAAUGCUAAUGCAAUACAGCAUAAUACAAUACAUCAGCAUUAAAAUAAUGCAAUACAGCAUAAUACAAUACAGUGUGCCAAAUGCACCCUAAGUGUAUGAGAUGCAACCUAUAUCUAAGGACGAAACUUAAAUACAUAAAAUUUUCUUUUCUUUUGACAUUUGGAAAUAUUUCCUGAAAAUUAAAAAAACAAUAUCCAUAUUUUAAAACAUAAUUGCCCCUCUUAUCCGUAUUUUAUUUUUUGAAAAAUUCUGAUAGGAAUUUACAAACAAAUUUGAUUAAUAAGUGGACGCAUCCAUCUUAUGUCAGGAAUUACUUGCAACACGAACAAACUGUCUAUUGCUGCCUCACAACUGCCUGGUAAACUAGUAAAUUCUCCAUCUCUUUUAUUUUUAUUUUUUAUUUUUUCUCUCUUUUAAGUUGUAUAAACUUAUGAGCCUUUAUAUCUAAUGCUACAAGAUUUCACCGCUCAUGCGUCUAUACAAGACAAGUUUAUGAGCAUUGAGCAGUGAAAAUGAAGCGCCUGGGAGGAAACAACGAUCGCUGUAAGUUGUGUCCUUUGGCAUCGCAAUGUAUUCGUAUGACAUCUCAACUGGGUAUGUGUAUUUGUAAGAUUUCACUGUUUUAAAGCAUCCACAAGCUAUAUUUUUAGAUAUCGCCGUCCAAUUACAGCUUGACUUUGUAAUUUGCUUCGCUUGACAUCCAUGGCAAGGUAUUAUUUCUAAUACGUCUGUUGGGCAAACUCAUACACACUGAAUACACCCUAUACGUGUAUCAUAUAUUGUUUGGGAUAUUAAGUUUUAACUAACAGACAGCCAGGUCGAGAGAAGGUUUCGUUACCUGGUCGCAUAUAUCAACACGACCAGCAUGACUCGAGCAGAUUAGGAACUGGUCGCAUGAUCUUUACAAGCUAAGUCAAGAAGUUCUAUUCAAAGAUCUAUCUGCAACAUCCAAGCGUGUUUAAAGCACAAUCACGCAUUACAACGGUUGAACAAUAACUACGCAAACAAACAUAUUAAUUUACACAUUUAAAUGAUGCAUUCAAUUAGGUAACGGCCACACGCUGAGGAAUAACCGCGGUUGUUUAUAAAAGCAAAAAAAAAUCUAGUAAAAUGGGUCUUUUUUCAAAAAAAAAGAAAAAAGAAUACAAGUGAUAUCAUUCUUCCCAGUACAGAAACCAUUGAUUUGAGCAUCGGAGGGAAACGCUGGGAAAAUUCAGCACUCCUAACCGUCAUUAUUUUUGUUAUAGGUUACAGGAAACAUAGGAACAUUUCAAUAUACAUAAUAUCAACAAGGAAGCACCAUCAGGUCAGAACAAAUUUGACCGUUGACAAAGCAAUCUGGUCAUCAUUAUCCGCUCGACUAAAUUUAAGCAUCAACAAUAUACAUACAUACAUAUAUACAUACAUACAUAUAUACAUACAUACAUAUAUAUAUAUAUACGUAUGUAUGUGUGUGUAUAUAUAUAUAUUCAUUCAUUUUGGUUAAAAGUUUAAAUAAAGUUUUUUUUUUUUACUAACUUUAUUAGAUAUGCAGCUAAUAAAGUUUAAUUUUUACUAACUUUAUUAGAUAUGCAGCUGAUAAAGUUUAAAUAAUUAACAAGAAAAGAAAAUCCCUUAAGUUUAUUUAUUCUUUCUUGGUGUUUAUGAUGUGAUUAUAAGUUAGUUAGGAAGCUUCUUCUUCUUCUUCAAAAAUAAACGAAAAAGGAAAAAAAUGGAUUGCCCCAGGCAGCAAAAUGGUAUUCUUAUAAACGGGACUAUGAAUUAGAUCGUCACCCCUAAAGUUAGAGCUGAACAACCAGAACUAAUAUAGACAGUCAAGUAACAGCACAGACAUCCACGCAUCCGCAUAAAAGAUUAAAAGAGCCUAAAUAUAUUGAUAUACCAAUGACUAUAUUUACUUGAUAACUACAAUUCAAGCUAAACCAACAGAAGAAUACAUAAGCAUUUGGUAAAGAAACUCAGUUCUUCUAGUGACAUUCGAUGAUGUUUAGAUCUUUAUAAUUUAGAUUUAAUAAUUCUUGACGAGUAACAAAAUCAUCAAUUAAUACCAGAAAAUAUUGUGCAAUUCUGGCUCAUGGAAAAUAUACAAUUACGCCAAAAACAAUUAAAUGUGGCGUACUAGAUACACUGAUGAUGAGGACAACAAAACAUUGGAGCACUUACCCCAAAUACAACGUGCUUAUUGUCAAGCCAGUCACAUUUUGCACAAGUGAUAAAGAACUGUAAUGAAAACAAGUGCAAGAAUGAAAACUUUAUGAUAUCUACAUAAUAGAUAAUUUGAAAAAGAUACUCAAAACAUAAAUUCUAGUCAUACUGUUCAACGUUCAGGUUAUAAAACAAACAACAAUUGACAACUACAUUUGCAGUUUAAACUUUUUUUGGUAAAAGGUAGCUGUCAAGUAGAAGCUACUUUGCUUCCGCAGAAAUUAAAUUAUUUUUAUGUCAACAGUAAAGGAUUAAAAUUAGAGUAACUUUAGAAGAAAGCUAAAAGUGUUCCAAAACACUAGCAGCUACCCUAAAAUUAAGAUAAAACAACAGCAGUUACAUAUGGGUCCUUGUUGUGUCUAUCUUAUAGUUUUUUUCAGUCUCCUAUUUUGUGUAUUCUUAGAUAUAUGUGUGAAUAGCAAAGACAGGAGGAGAGAGAUACAGGAUGCUGAUGAAUUACCUGGCACCCAUUAGUAUUUGGUCCGCUGUUUGACUGCAACAAGAGCAAGAUGGCGUUCCUUUAGGGCUUGUUUGGUUAUUGUAUUAAAGGCCCUCGUUGUAUUAAUUUUACACAAGUCCAUGUUUGGCAAAACAAAAGUUACAGUAACACCACAUUAUUGGGCCAAGCUAAUGCAGGAAGUUGCCGCAUUAGCUAAAUCCGACUCACAGUCAAGUUUAAGUUAAUGCGGCAAGUGCCGCUUGUUUUUUUUUUUUUCCCUCCCUUUUCACUUUUUGCCUUUGCAACUUGACUUUUGAUAUUGUUUUUUGACUUUUGACUUUUGUUCUAUAAUAAUAAUAAUAAUAACUUUUAAUUUAAUAUAAUAUUAUAUAAUAUUUUUAUUUUUUAUUUUUACAUUAUAAUUAUUAAUAUAAAUUAAUAAAUAUGUAAUUUAUUAUUCAAUAUUAUUAUAUUAUAUUUUUUUAAAAAAAUUAUUACAAUACAGUGUAGUACUAAAUAUUAUACAAUAUUAUUAUAAUAUAAUGUUAAUGCAAUAUAACAUAAUACAAUACACCAGUAUUAAAAUAAUGCAAUACAACAUAAUACAAUACGUGUACCAAACGCACCCUUAGUGUCAGUAGGAGCAUUUGACUAAACUCGUGUUCAAGUGAAAAGCAGCUGGAAAAUAUGAGUUUUGCAAGGCAAACAAAGGCAUUCAAAUAGAUUGACAGGGCAUUUUAAGCAAAUCCAAUGUGGUGGAAGUUACCAUCUUUAGUUUACAUUCCAUUUCUCUCAUUGAAAAUAGCUAUUAUUGAAAAUGGAAAUGAGAAUUAAACCUCAAAUCGGUAAAUAAUAAAGCUUCGAGUGCGUUUGGGAUUGAGGUUUGAUAGUUGUAGCUUAAAAGCUAUAGCUACUAAAGUGUUUGGUAAAUACUAGUUGUUGUAACUUAUAAGCUACGUUGAUAUGAUUUUUUACUUGUAUAAUAGAAAAUCUUUUAUAUCUUUAAUAAUUUUGUCAAAAUUAUUAUUUAAAAUUUAUAUUUAUUAUAUAUUAUUAACUUUUAUUUUAUAGUUACAACUUUUUUUUCCACAGCAAUUAUAUCUUAAAAGUUACAUUACCUCAAUUCCAAACGGGCGUUCAUCUCUUUGCCGUAAAAAUCAUGCACUUUCACCGACUGGUUAUUCAUCUCCCUUGAUCUCUCUUUGCCCAUUCCACAUUAGAAUAGUUGAACAUCUCUUUGACUUUGUAAUAUCUUUAAAAACAAUGACUCCACUAGUUCCUCACCUCAAACAAAUUCCUACUCAAUAAAGUAGACCCUCUAUUUUAGAUAACAAAACAACACCAACUACAAUGAAAAACAAAAACUUGAGAAUAAUUCUGGCAUAAUCCCACCUUAUCUCUCUCUCAGACGACCUCUUACUUCUGGAACAUUUGCUCACAUGUGCAAUCAAAGAUGUGGUAUAAGUCUUCCUAAGCGCUCAGUCUAAAUCCAUUAAAUCACGAGUGUUAAUUGGGUAUUCCUCAAACUGCAUCUGUAUCGAGGAAUAUAACUACUAAUGGUAUUUAUUUCAUAUGAUCAAAAUUCCCCCUUGUAAACAAAGCGAAUUACUGACUUUGUUCAUAAUCUACAAUAUCUUCUAAAUAUCUUGGAACCUUUUUCAAGGCCGUGAAAUAACAGAUUCUAUAAGAAAUAACAUAUUCUAUAUAGACUGUAUAGAAGAAAUGUAACGUAAAGAAGAGUGCUUUUCUUUAAGUAACCAAGCCAACAACUUAUUUGGACUCGGUUAGAUUGAGAAAUUUUCUUAAAAAAUUCAAUAAUCUAACCGGAAUAUUGUCAAAACAAAUUUCGCCAGACCCCUAAACUGUGUCUAGCAAAAUCAAGCCUUAAUCCUUGUCUUCCCUUCAUAAAUUAUCCUCUUGGUUCUGCUGCCUCGCUCCAGCAGAAAACAUGUGAGAGACCCUACAACUAUCAAUAACUGGAAUCAUCCACAUCAGAAUUGUGAUUCAUAUUAAUGGGUCUGAACCAUUAUUUAUUUCAUGUGAUAAGGGAAUAGGAGUCUACAGGCAUGCGCGCGCACACAAAAAUGCAUGCAGUUAAAGAAGCAUCUAUAAAUCUUGAAACUAGAUUGAGCACAAGAUCAUGAUAACUGAGGCACUGGUACAGAGACACAAGAUUUGCAUCUUUCUGUAAUUAAAGUGCCACUCUGGUGGCAUCUUACAUUACACUGGUAUUCUCAUGUCCUCCCUGAGAUUGCGUUGUACCAUAUUUGUGGUUUGUGUUCCAAUGGAAAACAGAGGUCCUGGGUUGUCGCUUUUUAGUUUUAGAAUAUGUUCCAUUUGAUACUUGUGGAAUUUCAUUUUCUUAAAAACUUCAUGUGGGCUUUCAAUUCUUAAAGUCGAUAGGCAUCAUCGGUUGACAAAUAUUAUUACGUCUUCAUUGUAAGUGCUCUUGACCAUCUGUUUUCGCAUGAAGGAAAUAACAAAAAAAGCCAAACUAAUGGCACUGUACUACCGCGAAAACAGAUGGGGCGGUGAGUUCUCAAUUUAUCAAGUUCAUUGCUAACGGAAAGUAGAACUGUUUUCAAUUUUAUGUUCUGUUUUCUCAAUUUUUCUUUCUUUCUUUCUUCUGACAUACAAGAUACAAGCGUACAUAAAUAUAUGUUACACGUUCGAUAAAAUUACACGUUUAACGCCCUAAGUAUCCCCGGUGGGUGCAUGCAAAUACGCAAUUAUGUUGGUUCUUUGGUUUCCUUAAUGACUAUUUGAUGAGCUUUCAAUUCAUCUGCAAGGGUCAAAUGUCUUGUACCCAGGACUAGAAAUUAAAAAGAGACACAAGUCCACUCUUCCAUUCUCAGGGGAAAAAAAUGGGGAUGUUUUAUGAACUAUGGUGCUUUUUAUUUCAAGCACAUGUUCUAUAAAUAAAAACUAAUCAGCUGCAAAAUCUCAAUAUGACAUAUGUACGGGAAAAAUGUAAGAAUUGCUGAUAAAAGAAUUUAAAGAACAAUCUAUAACUAGAAGCCUACUUCUUCCACUUGAGAUAGCUGAAAAACGGUUUCUCUGGCCAAGAAGAAGCCGCGAAACCAAUACAUGCGCUCUAUUGGCCCCAGCUCAGCCUCUCUGUGUCUGCAAACUUCUUCAGAAAUUCCACCAUCACCACUUGAAAAACAAUGGUUGUCCCGAUAAUCCCCAGAAACAGCCUGUUCUUAUGUAUCCCCUCAAAGACAUUCUUCUUUUCAAGCUUCCUCGCGUUGAAUUCGUUGAACACGUGGCAAAGGACGAAUGUGUUGAAGAUCAAGGUGUCCUUUACCUUCUCAUUUACACCAAAGAUGGAUUCACCUAUGAACUGUAAUGUCAAGAGGACUGCUAUCUGACAGAAAGCUUGGACCAGAAGAUUCCUCCACAUGAUGUUGGUGAUAAGUGGCUCCGUUCGACCGACGGGUGGUUUACCUCCUCCAUAUCCAUGUUCAUCUCCAGGACAGCCCAAGAAAGAAUUGCUUUUUCAGUGGGACUGCCUGAAAACUCAACAUCAGAUACUGAAGUUUCCCUAUAUACGCUGCCGGUUGUAUUCAGAGCAACUCCUUCUUGAAUCAAUUUAAUAAUAUUUGGAGAAACUGAUGAAGCAUCAGCUUCUUUUACAAGUUCUUUGCCGAGCCAAAACUUUGUCACCUUCAUCCGAUUUUCAGUGAGUGUGCCUGUUUUAUCUGUACCAAUGGUGGUUGCAGAACCCAUUGUUUCACAGGCAGAGAGCUUCCUCACCAUAACUUGAUCAGCCAUCAUUCUCUUCAUGGAAUAAGCAAGAGUAAGCGUAACAGCCAAAGGGAGACCUUCUGGUAUCGCAACCUCAAUAAUAGUAACUGUAGCAGCUACAAUCCCCACAACAGCAUUCACUAUAUCGUCAACCUUUGUCUUGCUUCCAUUAUACUCCUGGUUUCCAUUCUCGUCUGUUGUAUUCCCUGUGAAGUAGCGAAGCAGCAAGACGACAAGAGCCAAGAAAGCAACUGCCAAUCCAAUCUUACCUGUUGAUGAAGUUAGCUCGUUGAGCCGGGCUUGUAAGGGCGUCUGCUCACUGUUGUCGCGGCUUAUUUGGCUCAUCCGUUGGCCCCAGGUUGUGUUCAUGCCAACGGACGUGGCAAGCAUGCGAGCAUAACCAUCAGCCACCUUUGUGCCAGAAAACAAGAAUGGAUUCUGGCUACUGUUAACCUCCAGAUGAUCACUCUCCCCUGUCAUGCUUGAUUCGUCUACUUGUAACGAAUGGCCAUCUAAGAACAAUCCGUCAGCAGGUACUUGAUCUCCAAUCUUUAAACAUAUGACAUCUCCAACAACAAUUUCAAAAAUGGAUAUUUGUUGGCGGCGACCAUUUCUAUGACAUCAAUUUGUAUAUUGUUGCUGACUUUUGAUAACUUGUCAAACUGUAGAGUCUGUGUAAAGUUGCUUCCAGCUGAAAUGGCAAUGACCAAAAAGAACAAGUAUGCUUCCACCGUCAUACCAUCCCUCUUUCAAGCCAUGCUCCUUAAUGCCGAAGGCAAGAGAAAGCACAGCACAGCCUAAAAGAAUCAAAAUGGUAAGAUCUUUAAGAGCGUCCACAACAAAGUAGAACAAGCUCUUGGAUGGAGGUUUCUUGUACGUGUUUGAACCAAAUGCUUCACGUCUCCGAGCAAUAUCUUGAUCACUGCCACAGAUUCCAGCAUCAAAAUCUGUUUCGAGAGCAGAGGCUACGCGGCGAACCCCAUCAAACUUAUGAAGUUCGUCGAGAUCUUUCAUCUUCACAAGCUCAGCAAGACUCGUUUGAUCAAUCUUGAAUGAUUCACCAUGUUGUUGAAGAUUUACAACGGUGUAAGAUGGAGAGCGGGAAACCUUGUUGAUACCCUCUUGGCUUUAGCAAUUUCGGCUAGUGAGAAAAGUGUUCUGGAGCAGUAGAUUUUAGUUAAAGCUGAGUGCCAUUUUUUGGUGGGCACGUUAAGGGUGGCCGGAAAAUUAAGCAAAGACUCUAUGGAAACAGCGUUUGCAUGGAAAAUGGUAGACAUAGACAUGGUAGUGUGAUUGAUGGGAACAAAACUGAAAAUAUAAGAUCGGAGCAUACUUAGCAAUAGAUAAGCAAAUAACAAAACGCUGGGUCGGGGGAGGUGAAGAGCUUCAAUUGGUUCUUAUUUAUACGUGCAAGGUGGCUAAAUCGGGCUAAGUCGGUUUGUGUGAGAUUCGCUGGGAAUAACGCAUAGAAUCUCUAUCAAACAUUUUUGUAGAAUUUCUAUCAAACAUUUAGCAUUUUUGUGGAAUUUCUUGUUGAAAAUGUGAUUAAAAAAAAAGGUCAAAAAUUGUGGUUUCAAAUUGGUGGCUUAAUCACCAAAUUUAUUGAUCAAAUUUGAUCAAGAGUGGUGGGCUUGAUUUUAGGCAAAAUUUUGCCUAUAAAAAGGAUGCUCUCAUUUGAGAGCUUGGCAUUUCAAAAUCCCAGAAAAACAAUCCAAGUUUUGGUGAGAAACUGAGAGAGAAAUGUUCUUAGGCAUAUAGUUAUAUUAAAAGAGCAUUUGAUUUCUUAAUAUGGGUAUUACGGAUUUAUUUUGUUAAAGAAUAUUUCUCGAGAUCAUGUAUUUGGGGGCUUGGGUGAGAGAAAAUUAUUUCUGAGAGUGUGGUUCUAAUAAUUUUUCACAUAGUAAAUAUUUUUUCACGGUGGUUGUCUUUGACAACGACCGUGGUUUUCUCCGUACUUAGAGUUUUUCACGUAAAUCUUAUGUUGUGUGAUUGGUGUAUUCUUCAUUUAAUUUUUGCUAAUUUGUUGCUUGACAAAUUGCUUGGAGUGAUCUUGUGAGGAAACUCAAUUUCCUAACAGUGGUAUCAGAGCCAAUGGUUCGUACUUGGGAUAUACAAUAUUAUUCAUGUAUAUAAUACUUUUUAUGUAUACGGUACUAUUUACGUGAAAUAGUGGGGCCAAUCCAAAUAGUUUGUGGUGAAGAUCAAAGACUGAUCUAUAAAGCAAAUAUGUCAGCAACUAGUGUUUUGCAAACUUGGAGUUUGAUGUUGUUGAAAAAUUAAUGGGAGAAUGAUUUUUUGUUGGCUUGUGGAGAAUUCAUGUAAAAUGUGUAUCCAAUAUAGUAUGCACAAGGAUUUGAAGGUGUAACAAUUUGGCAUCUCAAGGAAAUUGUCAAGAAGGUGGAGCGAGUUCGGUAAAUUGCUCCAGAAUCAGUAAAGGAGAUAUUGAUAUUCUCGCAAAUGGUGAGUUUCUUUUUAUAAGAGACUGGGUUAGUUCUUCUGGCAUGUAGAUUUCCAAGUUGCCAUAAAAGAGAACAUAUUAUUAUCAGCGAGAUCCACAAGUUUGCACGCGGGUAUUGGCUUGGUAUAAAUGCAAGGUGUGUGGUGGAAAAGUUAUGUCAUGUCUGAAGAAUUCUUAGGGAAAUCAAGCAUGAGAAUUACACCAUAAUUUUCAACGGAUAUGUUCGACAUGUGCCGAGAAAAAUCUUAAAAUUGUUGAUUUUAAGUGGUAUAUUCUUUAUGGUGGAGUAUGAUAAUUCUCUAUGUUGAGAAUUAUGAUUGUUGGUGAAUAAAAGAACAAAAAGCAGAAUAUAUAUUGAAGUGUUUUUCACACAUUUUCAUUAACUGUAAUGCAUGUAUUUAUAUACAUCAUUUGUAACUAAUAAAGAGAAAAUAAAGGAAACUAUACAUGAGAGUAUCAAGGAGAAUAAUGGAAGAGAUUGUUGUCUGUAACUUGUGGAGAGUAUCAUGGAGCUUGAGAUUAUCUGAUAGUGAAGACAGUGCUUUGUAGCAGUGGCUAUGAAUUUUUUUUUUUAAUCAUGGUGGAGAUUGUUGAAAAUGUGAUUAAAAAAAGGGUAAAAAAUUGUGACUUCAAAUAUGGUGGGUUAAUCACCAAUGUUGAAUAUUCCCAUUAAUUUGGUAAGAUUCCAAUUAUUUCGGUUAGUUACCAAAUUUAUUUUUCAUAAUUUUAUUUUUAGUUAGGUAAGUUCCUAAUUUUGGUUAUACUUUCUCCCUUAUGGGUAUGUAUAUUUCAACUAUUAUUUCACUGAUUUUGCGUUUAAUAUUCCAAUUAACUUGGUAAGAUUCCGGUUGUUUGGGUUAAAUACCCAAAUUAUUUUUUUGGUUAGAUUAGUUCCUAAUUUUGAUUAAGUUUUUUCAUUUAUAGGUUCAUAUGUUUCAAUUUAUUACUCCACCAAUUUUACGUUUGAUAUUCCUACUAAAUUCGUUAAAUGCCAAAAUUUUGGGCUAUGUUCCAAGUAACUUUAAUUUUCCGUUGGAUGAGUUCCUAUUUUUCAUUGCACUUUCUCUCUUAUUGGUUCAUGUGUUUCAACUAAUUGUUACUCUAAUUUUAUGUUGAAUAUUCCCAUUAAUUCGGUAAGAUUCCAAUUAUUUCGGUUAGUUACCAAAUUUAUUUUUCAUAAUUUUAUUUUUGGUUAGGUAAGUUCCUAAUUUUGGUUAUAUUUUCUCCCUUAUGGGUCUAUAUAUGUCAACUAUUAUUUCACUGAUUUUGCGUUUAAUAUUCUAAUUAACUUGGUAAGAUUCCGGUUGUUUGGUUUGUUAAAUGCCAAAAUUUUGGGCUGUUCCAAGUAACUUUAAUUUUCCAUUGGAUGAGUUCCUAUUUUUCAUUGUACUUUCUCUCUUAUUGGUUCAUGUGUUUCAACUAAUUGUUACUCUAAUUUUGUGUUGAAUAUUCCCAUUAAUUUGGUAAGAUUCCAAUUAUUUCGGUUAGUUACCAAAUUUAUUUUUCAUAAUUUUAUUUUUGGUUAGGUAAGUUCCUAAUUUUGGUUAUACUUUCUCCCUUAUGGGUCUGUAUAUUUCAACCAUUAUUUCACUGAUUUUGCGUUUAAUAUUCCAAUUAACUUGGUAAGAUUCCGGUUGUUUGGGUUAAAUACCCAAAUUAUUUUUUUUGGUUAGAUUAGUUCUUAAUUUUGGUUAAGUUAUUUCAUUUACAGGUUCAUAUGUUUCAAUUUAUUAUUCCACCGGUUUUACAUUUGAUAUACCUACUAAAUUCAUUAAAUGCCAAAAUUUUGGGUUAUAUUCCAAGUAAUUUUCAUUUUCCGUUCAAUGAGCUCCUAAUUUUCGUUACACUUUCUCUCUUAUUGGUUCAUGUGUUUCAACUAAUUGUUACUCUAAUUUUAUGUUGAAUAUUCCCAUUAAUUCGGUAAGAUUCCAAUUAUUUCGGUUAGUUACCAAAUUUAUUUUUCAUAAUUUUAUUUUUGGUUAGGUAAGUUCCUAAUUUUGGUUAUACUUUCUCCCUUAUGGGUNNNNNNNNNNNNNNNNNNNNNNNNNNNNNNNNNNNNNNNNNNNNNNNNNNNNNNNNNNNNNNNNNNNNNNNNNNNNNNNNNNNNNNNNNNNNNNNNNNNNNNNNNNNNNNNNNNNNNNNNNNNNNNNNNNNNNNNNNNNNNNNNNNNNNNNNNNNNNNNNNNNNNNNNNNNNNNNNNNNNNNNNNNNNNNNNNNNNNNNNNNNNNNNNNNNNNNNNNNNNNNNNNNNNNNNNNNNNNNNNNNNNNNNNNNNNNNNNNNNNNNNNNNNNNNNNNNNNNNNNNNNNNNNNNNNNNNNNNNNNNNNNNNNNNNNNNNNNNNNNNNNNNNNNNNNNNNNNNNNNNNNNNNNNNNNNNNNNNNNNNNNNNNNNNNNNNNNNNNNNNNNNNNNNNNNNNNNNNNNNNNNNNNNNNNNNNNNNNNNNNNNNNNNNNNNNNNNNNNNNNNNNNNNNNNNNNNNNNNNNNNNNNNNNNNNNNNNNNNNNNNNNNNNNNNNNNNNNNNNNNNNNNNNNNNNNNNNNNNNNNNNNNNNNNNNNNNNNNNNNNNNNNNNNNNNNNNNNNNNNNNNNNNNNNNNNNNNNNNNNNNNNNNNNNNNNNNNNNNNNNNNNNNNNNNNNNNNNNNNNNNNNNNNNNNNNNNNNNNNNNNNNNNNNNNNNNNNNNNNNNNNNNNNNNNNNNNNNNNNNNNNNNNNNNNNNNNNNNNNNNNNNNNNNNNNNNNNNNNNNNNNNNNNNNNNNNNNNNNNNNNNNNNNNNNNNNNNNNNNNNNNNNNNNNNNNNNNNNNNNNNNNNNNNNNNNNNNNNNNNNNNNNNNNNNNNNNNNNNNNNNNNNNNNNNNNNNNNNNNNNNNNNNNNNNNNNNNNNNNNNNNNNNNNNNNNNNNNNNNNNNNNNNNNNNNNNNNNNNNNNNNNNNNNNNNNNNNNNNNNNNNNNNNNNNNNNNNNNNNNNNNNNNNNNNNNNNNNNNNNNNNNNNNNNNNNNNNNNNNNNNNNNNNNNNNNNNNNNNNNNNNNNNNNNNNNNNNNNNNNNNNNNNNNNNNNNNNNNNNNNNNNNNNNNNNNNNNNNNNNNNNNNNNNNNNNNNNNNNNNNNNNNNNNNNNNNNNNNNNNNNNCUAAUUUUGGUUAUACUUUCUCCCUUAUGGGUACAUAUAUUUCAACUAUUAUUUAACUGAUUUUGCGUUUAAUAUUCUAAUUAACUUGGUAAGAUUCCGGUUGUUUGGGUUAAAUACCCAAAUUAUUUUUUUUGGUUAGAUUAGUUCUUAAUUUUGGUUAAGUUAUUUCAUUUACAGGUUCAUAUGUUUCAAUUUAUUACUCCACCAAUUUUACGUUUGAUAUUCCUACUAAAUUUGUUAAAUACCAAAAUUUUGGGUUAUGUUCCAAGUAACUUUCAUUUUCCGUUUGAUGAGUUCCUAAUUUCCGUUGCACUUUCUCUCUUAUUGGUUCAUAUGUUUCAACUAAUUGUUACUCAAAUUUUGUGUUGAAUAUUCCCAUUAAUUUGGUAAGAUUCCAAUUAUUUCGGUUAGUUACCAAAUUUAUUUUUCAUAAUUUUAUUUUUGGUUAGAUAAGUCCCUAAUUUUGGUUAUACUUUCUCCCUUAUGGGUACAUAUAUUUCAACUAUUAUUUAACUGAUUUUGCGUUUAAUAUUCUAAUUAACUUGGUAAGAUUCCGGUUGUUUGGGUUAAAUACCCAAAUUAUUUUUUUUGUUAGAUUAGUUCCUGAUUUUGGUUAAGUGCUUUCAUUUAUAGGUUCAUAUGUUUCAACUUAUUAUUCCACCAAUUUUACGUUUGAUAUUCCUACUAAAUUUGUUAAAUACCAAAAUUUUGGGUUAUGUUCCAAGUAACUUUCAUUUUCCGUUUGAUGAGUUCCUAAUUUCCGUUGCACUUUCUCUCUUAUUGGUUCAUAUGUUUCAACUAAUUGUUACUCAAAUUUUGUGUUGAAUAUUCCCAUUAAUUUGGUAAGAUUCCAAUUAUUUCGGUUAGUUACCAAAUUUAUUUUUCAUAAUUUUAUUUUUGGUUAGAUAAGUCCCUAAUUUUGGUUAUACUUUCUCCCUUAUGGGUACAUAUAUUUCAACUAUUAUUUAACUGAUUUUGCGUUUAAUAUUCUAAUUAACUUGGUAAGAUUCCGGUUUUGAGCGACUAAUCUUUAUACACAUUUAUUCUCAUUUUAUCAUUUUAAUUAAUUAUUUUUAGUUAUCAAGUAAAUUAAUGCAUUCACUUUCAGCUUUCUCUUUACUCUUUAAAUAAUUUCUUUAAUUUUUCAAAAAUUUGACAGUAGAUUAAAAGUAUAUAUAAAGGUGCGUGCAAUUGCUGUGUUUUUUUUAAAAAAAUUAAUUUUUUAAAAGUUUUGACAGCAUAAAUUAUAAAAAAAAGUUUAAACUUACAAAAGUUGAAAUUUUCUUAAUUUAUUUGUGUUGAAUUAUCUUUUUUCUCUUUUUGGGGGGAUCAAUUGAAUUGAUAAGAUUUCUUGAACUUGAAUUUAUUUAUACUUAAAUUUUGAUUUUUGUAAAUGUUAUGCCCAUUUUAUCAUUCAAUUAACCAUAUUUAUUUAUCUUUAAACUAAAAUAAAUCAAGAAUUAAGAUUUUUUUGAAUUCGAAUUAAAUUUUUACCACUCUAUUUUCUUUUCAAAUUAGUUUUAGUAAUUUCCAACUACUUCAACAAAAUAUUUAUGUUAUUAAUUAUAAAUAUUAUUAUAUUAUACUUGUAUUAUUACCACUAUUAUUAUUAUUUGUUUUUUUAAACUAUUACUACAAUUAUUAUUACUACAAUCAUGAGAUUUUUUAACAAAAUUUUUUCUUACAAUGAGUAUUCUUCCUUUUCAUUUUUAAAUAUGUAUAUAAUUUUCGAUUUAUAAAAUAAGUUCUUCAAUAUAAUUUUCAGAAAUUUGUUAUGCCCAACAAUAUGGUACGAUGAAAAUCUAACAUUAUAGUAAUAUGAUUUUGCAUGUUUAAUUAAUUUAUCUUUUUCAAAUGGUCUUUUUUACUCAUAAAUUUAUUGACAUUUAUUUGCAAAUAAAAUUAUAACGUCCUACUAAUUUAUCCGAUGCACUUAAAAAUUACUCAAAUCAAGAGUUUCAUUGCAAGAAUAAGAACUUCGAUCACUUAAGCAGUUACUUACAAUAGUAACCUAAUGUGAGGCUUAUUGAAAAGUUAAAAUUGCAAAAAGAGUCGAGCCUAAAACUACUUUUGUUCAGAAAUUUUUUUACAAACUUGUGAGAAAAUAACUCUUUAAAAACUAUUAAUAUCAAUAAAACUAUUACAAAAUUAAAUCAAUUCACAGCUUCCAAAAGCUAAACCAAAUGCUAAUAAUUUGAGAUUUAGAUUUCAUGGGUCUCUGCAUAAAAAAAAUACAAAAACCAAAUGAAAUUAGAAAAAAAGGCUGCAAAAAAAUAACAAAAAUAUUCAAAUUUCAAAGGUAUGAUCCAAAUUCUUAGGCAGGAUCAGAUAUCUAUUGUUUUGAACAAAAAAAAUUGAAACUUAAAUAUAAAAUAACACAAAACUAUAUUCUAAUUUUAACAACAUAUUUUUUUGAUGAUUUUUUAACAACAAUAUUCAAAAUAUAAAAAAAAAAUUNNNNNNNNNNNNNNNNNNNNNNNNNNNNNNNNNNNNNNNNNNNNNNNNNNNUUUUUUUACAAACUUGUGAGAAAAUAACUCUUUAAAAACUAUUAAUAUCAAUAAAACUAUUACAAAAUUAAAUCAAUUCACAGCUUCCAAAAGCUAAAUCAAAUGCUAAUAAUUUGAGAUUUAGAUUUCAUGGGUCUCUGCAUAAAAAAAAUACAAAAACCAAAUAAAAUUAGAAAAAAAGGCUGCAAAAAAAUAACAAAAAUAUUCAAAUUUCAAAGGGAUGAUCCAAAUUCUUAGGCAGAAUCAGAUAUCUAUUGUUUUGAAUAAAAAAAAUUGAAACUUAAAUAUAAAAUAACACAAAACUAUAUUUUAAUUUUAACAACAUAUUUUUUUGAUGAUUUUUUAACAACAAUAUUCAAAAUAUAAAAAAAAAAUUUCUCGACUAGGGUUUCUAACAAUGGAAGAAUGAGAGGUAUUUAUAUUUUGAAUCAAAAUUUGGGGAAAAAAUUAAAAAAUUGUAAAUGUACGCGGUAUUAAAACAAAAUUGCUUUUUAUCUUGGCGGUAGUUUUACCCACCUAAAUGAAACCUAAGUACUUAUUGUUUCACCAAAAAUAUAAUUUAAUUUAAUUUAAAAAAUAUAGAUAUAAAAUUUAAGCUUGUUAAUCUUUUUACAUAAUUUUAUAUUUUUAGUUGUUAUAUAAAUUAACUUAAUUUUAAAAAAUAUAGAUAUAAAUGUAAGAUUGAACUAAUUUUGUGAUCAUUGCACACUAUUCAGUAUACAAAUCAUGAACCAUCAAGUGAGUGUAGUGUUACUCAAAUAAUUUGAUUUAAUUUAGAAAUGUAAUUGUCGUGCUUAAAGUAUAUAACUGUAAAAAUAAUUUAAUAUAACAUUAUUCAAUAUUAGUUGCAUUCAAUUUGUAAUUAUCCAUAUUAUGUACCAUUAUAAAUUUGAUUAAUGUUUAGCAAAAAAAAAUUACUAUACCAAAAAAAAAAUAAAGUAAUUAAUUUGACCUAAUUUUGUAUGAAUCAAUUUGCAUAAGAGAUUGUUUGUGAGUUUUAUUUAAAAAUAUCAAAUAUUAGAUGCUUUAUAUUUGUCUAAUAUAUGAUUUUUUUUUUAGAGGGUAUACAAAGAACAUAUAUUAGCCACUAAUAAUAACAACAACAACAACAUUUGAGGGGUAAGUAUGAUGUUUGGUAUAAUAAUUAUUCGAUAGUUGGAUAAACAUUACAAUCAUUUUCGUAGGUAGGGAUUUAAGUCCUUAUAUGUGUAUUGUGGUUUGUGGGAUAUUGAGAUUGAUUUCUUCCAAAUAUUUAGGAAUGAAUUGUUUUUAUUAUAUGUUUAGAUACUUGGAUUUUAAAUAAUUUAUAUUAUAAUUAAUAUAUAAUUUAUUGUAAUUUUUUAUAUUAAAAUAUUAUUCUUAUUAGUACUUAAGUUACAUUUUUAAAGUAAAAUAUCAUUAAAUUUAUAACGUAAUAUUAAUAAAAUAAAAUAAUUAUUUUUGUUUAAAUAUAUUAAUCUAUUAAUUUUACUUAAUUAUAUUUUUAUUAGUACAUAAGUUAAAUAUAUUAACUAUUUUUUCAUUAAUUAAAAGAAAAAGUAGUAUUUUCUUUUUUUAAGUUGAGGGGGUCUUUGAUAGUUUUCUAAUUUGAGAUUGAUUAUCGUAAUAUUUACCUAACAUGAGGGAGCGAUAUAAUAGUUACCAUUUAAUAUUUGCCUCUUUUAAGCAAUUAAAAUGAGAGUACCGGUGGCCGGUUAUUGAUUGUAUUAAUAAAAUAAUAAAAAGCGGCUGUAUGAGAUACAACCGCUGUAUUAUAAGCGGACCCCUCGAUACAAAUUUAGAAUUAGUCAUACUAGAUUGAAUAAAAUAAUUAAAAAUUUGAGAAUGAGUAUUUUGAUGGUAGGGAUGAGUCCGAAGCCUACCUCAUGUUGCUUUCUCCCAUCUUUCUAUAGCCUUUGACAAUUGUGUACUAUUGGCGUUUAAUGCUUGUCAAUCAUCCUGAGAGAUUCUCUGAAAUUGUCGCCAUGAUUCACCUUGCACUAUGUUUUUUCUUUUUGAAUUAUCAAAUUUUUGAGUCACCAUGCCCACUUGGAUCAUGCUUUUGGACUUUGGAUCUUUUUGUGAACACCCUGAUUUAUUGCCCUUUUCUUCCAUUUGUUCUCCUCCACCUCCGGAACUUAAGGAUGAGACCAAAAACUAAAAGUAAUCCCUUCACUUUCCUUCUUUUUCUCAUUUUUUUUUAUCAUCAAGCACCAGUCCCUAGGUUUUAGUAUUGAGACAGAGACGAAUCAAAACUAGACACUACAUAAAGUUUAAAGUGACAUCGGGCAACUUCAACGAAAUUUUCGAUAUUUCUGAAAUUAACCAUGCCAUGAGCAAAUAUGUUGAACAAAUUUCAAGUUUCAUAUCUCACCUCAAGGAGGUUUUGAUCUUAUAACCUUUAUUACUUUUUAAAAAAUUACCUUGCCGCAAGCUAGCAAGUUGCACAAGUAUAAGGUUUUACAGAGGAUAUUUCUAGGUUUUAACCUUUUACUACCACUUUGAAAUUUUAAGCAAUUCAUUUUGUUCGCCAUACUAUGGGUUCAUAUGAUUUUUUUUAAGAUUUUAUGCUUUGCUCAGAGUAGGUUUCGAGACUUUUAACCUUUUAUUAAUUUAAGCAACCUUAGCAGCUGUUGUCAGUUUGAGAUUUUAUAUCUUACCCAAAGUAGGUAUCAAGACUUUUAACUUUUUACUAAAUCAAGUAAUUUUUAAGUAAUUCUUAUCAGUUUAAGGUUUUACCUGAAGUAGGUUCCAAGGCGUUUAACUUUUUACAUGCCUUAGAAAAAAUUUCAAUAACGAAAGAAAAAGAAUGAAUAUAUGAAUUAUUUCUUACUGCAUCCAUUUUAUUCAAAGUCAUAUAUAGUAUAAUUUAAUCAGAAAAGAUUGAAGCAAAACUGAAACUGUGAUGUAUAUGUUACUGAUUCAUAGAAUGAUUUUUCGGGAGAGCAUGCUGAAUCAAAGAAUUAAUCAGGCAUCUGGAUUCGUGUCCAUGCAUGAUAUACUGUUAUGAUGCUUGACAGUCAAAUAAAUGUACACAGUUAUAAAAGCAAGUAAAUGACUUAUUGUAUAAUAGGAAAAACAAGAAUAUGGACCUAAUAAUGUUGCAUGUGAGAUUUCAUGAAUAAUCAUGCAUGUGAAUCAGCAAAUUCAAGAUAAGUAUAUGAUUUAACUGAUCAAAUUGAAACAUGAUUAAGAGCUAAGUGAGUUUACCGAUAUAAUUCAGAGUAUUUUUCGGUAGACUUUUCCGAGAUGUCUCUGGAUAUGGUACUGACAACAACUUGAGGCAACGAAUUUGUUUCAAUUCUUGCAGUCACUUUGUCGGACAGCUCCCGUGUGUAAUUUUGCAUGAGCACUUUUAAAAGUCCUCUCUAAAAGCCUGUUUCCAAAAUAACAAACUCCACAUCUCUGCAUCCAAUUAGUAUUUAAAUCCUCAUUCCAAAUGAUUUAAUCCAUCACAAUUAUGCUGAAAUCGCGGCAUAAUCCAAUUGUAAAAGUGGCUGAGAUCUUAGCAUCUAAACUUGGAACUUAUGCAAAACUUUAACGGCAAGCACAUGAUCAAGAGUUGUCUAUAUAGCAAUAAGUAUGUGGCCACUAGUUUAUGACAUGAUUUCAUAUAUUCAAUAUAUGUACAUUUUAAAUCUAUGCUCUGUAAUCAAUUUUUCAUGCUCAUGUAAAACAAAUCAUAAAUUGGAUUGGUGAGAAGCACACCGAACUUCUCCAAUCAGUUUGAUGUUAAUCCAUAGAUUUUACUAUAUUCAUGCAUAUAAAUUAAGCAAAUUCAAGCUAAUUAUUCCAUUUGAUAUACUACUAUGGCAUAGAUCAACCGUAAUUUAAUUCACCAUUCAAGAAACCAAAGUGAUUGCAUGAUUUUGAUUGACUAAAUGCACAUAAAACUAAAGUUGCUGAGAUGAAUUUUAUGCACAUAACACUGAAUGCACGCUUGUUUAAUCGGUCAAUCAUGCACAAAUUUACCAAAUUUACAAUUUAAACAAACAGCUCGUAGCAAGUACACAAUUGAAUAUGAGGAUUAAAGUAAAAUUGAUCAUCAUUAUACUCAUGGAGAAAUAAAUUCAAGUGAUACCGAGGCUAUGAGAUAUAAAAUUGAUCAUUCAGUGCAAUAUAUCACGCAUAUAGAUGAGUAAAUUGAAUGUGAUUAUCGAUUUGAAGCUUGCGAAUAUCAAAAUUGUUAACACGAAUAUGUUCAUAAUAUUGAUUUUGAUGAUAACAAACUUUAAAUGUUUUUGAUUAAAAUGUUGAAACUAUUAUUUAAUAAACGAAAGCCUUAUAAUCAUUCCAAUUAUAUUCAUAAAAUCCAGAAUUGAAGAUUGUACUCAUCUGGCACCACUUAACAGAAACAUAUAAGGCUAAUUUGUUUUGCAGGUUACUGAAAAUAAAUGACGAACCGUUUAUUACAAACUACUAACCGAUAAAUUCCAGAGAAGUCAUUUCAUGCAAUCCUUAACCGUUUAAUGCAAACGGAUAACUGAUGUUCAUCUUGCAGGUCUCUGGAAUUUAAUGGCGAAAGGGUAAUCCUAAACGGCAAACCGUUUAUUUGAAAAUUGGUCCAACGAUAACUUUGACAAGUCUAAACGGUUAACCGUUAAUGGUUAACGGUGAACCGUUUUCGAGCAGACAGUCUAUAACGGCUAGUUUUUCGGCUCCAACUAUAAAUAAACUCAUUCAAAUUCAAAUAAGAUUGAUCACAACAUGACUAUUGAGCUUAUAUUUGAGAAUACAAUCUUCAUAGAGCUUUAAACACAUUAUUGCUUCAUUUAUUCACACAUUGGACAUUAAUUUGUAAUCUUAAAUAUUGUGUGAGAGAAAAAUAAUUUGUAAUCCUUUAUUUUGAGUGAUUGUAAGUGUUGUGAUCCACUUGGGUUAAGAAAUUGGGGAUAAUCUCUUGUUGUAAAGGUUCAUUGACACCUUGGAAGUCAAGUGUAAGCAUUUGAAGUAUUGGAGGCUUGCUUAGUGAAACCCUCAAGCCCAGAAAGCUUGGAGGCGUGGACGUAGGCAAGGGUGACCGAAUCACGUAAAAAUAUUUGUGUUUGAAUCUCUCUUCCCUCAUCUUUUUAUAUUGUAAUUGUUUUAAUUGUUAUUGCAUUAAAUUCCUUUUAGAUUUGCAUGAUAAAUUAUUUUAGAAACAAAUAAUUUUUAGAAUCUUAAUUCACCCCCUCUCUUGGGUUGCACACUUGUAUUUCAAAAAAUUUGUUAGCUAUUAUAGAUUCAAUUCAAUUCUUCCCUGUGGAUUUGGAAUUAAAAGAGAGCUUGCUCCGAUUCGUGCAUGAUAAUAUUCUGCCUUCACUUUGGCUAGCUGAAAAAUUAAUAGAGACAAAAGUUGGCUUUUUAUACUGUUUCCAAUAGACGGUGCCAAAAUGUUGAUGCUGAAAUUUAGUCGAGUCAAUUAGCGGCUUGAUACCAAACCUUUGUGCUAGCAUAAAAUUUAUGUGUUGGGAAAGAUCGCUAAAGAUGCCUUGGACCAUUAGUAAAUAACCAACAAACAUAUAAAAUCACAAAUGAAUAGUAAGAGGCGCCGGAAAUUUUUCCGGCAUUGAUCCUCCGACACUCAAGUCAGUAUAUGGGUUUACAGGAAAGAUAUAAAAUAAAUAACUUAUGAUUUCUUAUAAAGAAAUAAUCUCUGGAAAAUGUAAUCGAAAAAUAAAAAUUGAUAAGGAGAGUUGAACCUCCCUCUUUAUUAAUUCCCAUAAGGAAUUUUAUCAAGAUUAAAGUUUUACCCCCAAUCUCUUUGUGAUCGGCAGAUGGGAUUAAGGAAACAAUAUUUUUUGGUUCCCCUCUCUCCUUCCAUAAAAGACUCGUCUUAAAUUAAAAGUCGAAAGUAGCCCCUCCACUUUCUUUCUUUUUUCUCCUUUUUUUUUUCUCACUAAACAAACAAUAGGACAAAAUUUUUUGUCAACUUUUUUUCUUUUUGAUAUUAGUUCCGUUUUCAUUUCUCAUGCAUUUGCUAUUCGAUGUGUAUUUCAGCAUUGAGAUCUACAAGCACCCCAAAGAAGAAAUGAUAGCCCGAACAUGGAGGACAACUGCCCCUAGUCUACCUUAUGUUGACUAGGCUAUAACUUAUGCUGGAAACUGGCUGAUUGGAGGUGACUUGGAGGUUCUAGAACCAAUCAAGAUGGUCCUGAUCGUUUCCAAUUGUCACCUGCUCAACUUCGUGAAGAAUUCAGCAAGCCAAUGCCGACACCGUGUUUGCUUUCCAGCGUCGGAAACCUGUGGACAAUGGUCAUGCUCUAUUGAUGACUGAUACUCAUCGCAGGCUUCUUG
rnacentral:lncRNA from 1 species